UUUAUAGUAAUACCUCGUCAAUAGUAACGAAUACAUAAGAAUGAUGUUAUUGUUUGAUUGACAAGUUAUUGUUGUCUUAGGUUGGUUUGAGUGGGGCAUUGGAAACAUUGUGUGGGCAAGGAUUUGGUGCAAAGGAAUACCAUAUGCUGGGAAUUUACCUACAAGCCUCAUGCAUCAUAUCUCUCAUUUUUUCCAUCAUUGUAUCCAUUAUUUGGUUCUAUACAGAACCCAUCCUGGUGUUGCUUCACCAAUCUCAUGACAUUGCAAGAACAGCUGCUCUUUAUAUGAGGUUUUUUAUCCCAGGAUUGUUUGCAUAUAGCUUCUUGCAAAACAUGUUGAGGUUUCUUCAGACACAAUCUGUAGUAAUGCCAUUGGUUCUACUCUCAGCUCUUCCAUUGCUUCUUCAAAUUGUCAUUGCAUAUGCCUUGGUUCAGAGGUCAGGUCUCAAUUUCACAGGUGCACCCGCUGCAGCUUCUAUUUCCCUAUGGAUUUCAAUGCUAUUACUUGCCUUGUAUGUAAUCUAUGCUAAGAAGUUCAGGCAGACAUGGCAAGGAUUUUCAAUGGAUUCAUUCAAUUACGUACUUACAAACAUGAAACUAGCUCUACCUUCUGCUGCAAUGGUAUGGUAUGAACCACAAAACAACCCUUCACUUUUUUGUGUAUCAAUAUAAGUUCCUACUUACUAUUUAUUGUUUAUGUAAUGCAAGUUUGGAGUAUUGGGCUUUUGAAAUUUUGGUUUUCUUAGCUGGACUUCUGCCUAACUCCCAGAUAACAACUUCUUUGAUUGCAAUAUGGUAAGGUUCUAACUGCCUUUAUAGUUCUGUUCUUAAUUAAAAAUGAGAGGUUCAUGUAGUUUAUUAUUGUCAAUCUUCAAAAACUCUACAGUACAAAUACAGAAUUCGUAGCCUACAUGAUCACUUACGGUCUCAGUGCAGCUGCAAGGUUAGUUGGUUGAACACAUUCUCUAUACUUCAAUUGCUUCACAUAUUUUCUAAUGACUUGUUGAAAAGUUGAAAUUUAAUUUUGAUAGCACAAGGGUAUCCAAUGAAUUGGGAGCAGGCAACCCAGAACGAGCUAAACAUGCAAUGAAUGUCACUCUCAAGCUCUCUCUCCUCCUUGGUUUCUGUUUUGUUUUGGCACUUGGAUUUGGUCAUAAUAUCUGGAUUCAGUUUUACAGUGAUAGUGCUACAAUCAAAGAGGAGUUUGCAUCAGUGACACCUUUGCUUGUCCUUUCCAUAUUACUAGAUGCCAUUCAAGGUGUCUUGUCAGGUUUGAAUUCUUCAUUACUUUUUUAUGGGAUUUUUCAUAGUGAAGUUCAUUACGGAGAACUUGUACACUUAAUCCAAUCCUAUUUUCAAUUCAAAAUUUCAAAACAUUGAGUUUAUGAGUGUUUUUUUUUUUUGUCAGUUUUAUCUAAUGUGAAAGUCAUACUUAGAUUAUCACAACACUUUUAACAUGCUAUCAUUGUACCUUGAACAUUAACUAAGAAUUAUUAGAAGGUAAAUUGUGUUUAAUGCUGCAGGGGUGGCUAGAGGAUGUGGCUGGCAGCACUUGGCGGUUUACAUUAACCUUGCAACUUUUUAUCUCAUUGGUCUGCCAAUUUCAUGUCUCCUAGCAUUUAAGACCAAUUUGCAGUAUAAGGUGAAUAAAUAUUUAAGGCAUAUGCUGGUUAUGAUUGUUCGAAUCAUCUUGGUUCUGUGAAACGGUUUGCUUUAACUAGUUUUACUAAUAUAUUUGUCUUGAAUUUGCUUUGUGAUAUAGGGUUUAUGGAUUGGUCUGAUUUGUGGACUGCUUUGUCAGACCGUGACUCUCUUCCUUUUCACAAGGCGUGCCAAAUGGUCUAAAUUGGAUCUUUCCCACGAAGACAAAGAUAAAGACCAUCCUCUUCUUAUAUAAACUUCUGCCAAACCUCCUAAGUUCGAGUAUGUAAUAACUGACGCAAGAGUUUAGUUACUGGUUCCUAAAUACUACCUCUUGGUGGUUUCUUAUGGCUGCUUAGUCUUGUUUAUUCUUUUUUGAAAAAAGUUACCUUUUACCAAAUGGCGCGAAGCGUCUCGUUUCCUGCAUCUAGAAGAAGUUACAGAGUCACUUGAUCUAAACCAUCGGAUCCUACUACAUCUGAUGACGUGGAUCGUACAAGGGUCCACGACCUAAUGGCUAUAAAUAGAGUGGGCCUCUCGUGUCAUUUUCGUCAUUAAUAUAUUAUUCUCUCAAUCCACUGAGUGGAUUCCUCUCUAGGUAAAUAAUGUCAAUCGCUAACUUGUGUUCGUCUAAGAAGUUUUCGGGGAGAGGUGAACGAGGUUAUGACAAUGGUGCCUUGUCUUCGACAACACCAGAGUCUACCUCCUCCUCCGUCUUUGAGUCAACCGAGUGAGAUGAGGAUUAGGUUGACAAUGAAGUUAGUGUAGAUAAAAAUAAGGUCGUUCAAAGCAGGGCACUAAACUUCGUUUAUGGUGGUGUGGACAUCACCACCACCGAUGAGGGUGUGGAACCUCAGGAGGGCCUCCCGAUCAUUCCAUGUUAUGAUUGAUCAUCUCAUGAAGUUGGGGAAUUCGUGACAUGAUUUCGAACCAAGGCCCAAUUUGAAGAUUGGGCCGAGCGACGUUUUAAAAUCUCUCAUGUUCGACCCUCUCUUCAAACUGAUGCAAAGGAAACAAAUGGGUGUUCCAUGGGAAGGGAGACAACCCCGAUGACUUCUUCUUUUCAUACAAUUUCCUCUUCAAUGGAAUGUUCAUUUGGCUUCCCUUUGAAGAUUUUCAUAUGAGGUCUUGAGGGAACUGAAUGUAGCACCCUUACAACUUCAUUUGAACGACUAGACGUAUAUGUAGGUGUUUCGGUAGUGAGAUUGAACCCCACAAACUCCUACACAAUUUGUCUCCUGGAGGUUUGGUCUCCUCUGCCGUCUCCUAGUUCCCUUCUUGAUGUUCAGCUCCGAGUGUCUCCUUCACAAUACUGUCCGUUCGUAUACCUGUCAAAGGUCUUUCGAUGUUCAAGAAAUACGGCUCACUCUAGAGAUAAAGAGAGAAUGAAAAAGAGCUGAAAUAAAUGCGAGUAAAUGUAACCAACUACCUCCUACCUUUGACUUGUAUUUAUAGUUUUUGUCAUGAGCCCGUGAUUAGCAAAACCUUAACUAUGGUCAAUUACUAGCCCAAUAUCCUUAAUUGUAUCUUAACUUAAUUCUGUCUUAAUGUUACAUUUAAUCUUGGCUGGACGGUUUGUCUAGAAUUAUUGUUUCUCCGAGAUCAUUAUGUUUGGGGCAACGUUAACAUGCCGUUGAUAGACCUCGCGUUGCGCCUAUGCCAAUUACCUUGGACAACCUUACUCGAUCGGGAUCUUUGCCAUAAGCUCGUAUCCCCGUGUCCUUGAGUUGUCGUGGUGGAUGUUGUAUCCAUGCCGAAUCAUGCUGGUCGAGCGUCUCUCGUACUUCUUCUUUUCAUACAAUUUCCUCUUCAAUGGAAUGUUCAUUUGGUUUCUCUUUAAAGAUUUUCAAAUGAGGUCUUGAGGGAACUUAAUGUAGCACCCUUACAACUUCAUUCGAACAACUGAGCAUAUAUGUAGGCAUUCAUGGUACUUUACGUGACCUUGGGUCUCAUGCCCACUUCAGCAAUCUUCCUCCACUACUUUUGAACGUGCCCAAUCGCCAAGUGUGGGUGGGUCUCAUUAAUAUCAGAGCAGAGGAAGAUCCUCUUCAAGCUCUUUGCCCUCUCUUUAAAGGGCUUUAAGGAUAAAUAUUUUAUGAUAGUAAUAACAGAAUACGACCGUUCGUGAUUUUUUGACGAGAGUGGCCAGGCCAAGUUUACCCUCUACUGGACCCAAAAUAUCGCUCGGAUAACGUGGUGCACAAGACGCGAGUGGCGCUGAUUGACUUGGAGGCUAUAAGCAUGCUUGACGAAGUCCCAUAUAACCUCCCUUCCCGACGACUUAUCCAAUGCUUUGGAUACGAGGACCUUAGUGCUGAGACGUUCAGUAUGAGAAAAACAUGUUGGAACAUAUGUCUGAGCAGUAGAUGGUAGACGUAACCCUUGAACUCAGCUCCCAGGCUGCGGUACUGAACUGACAUCUUGCUUAUGCCUCGGAUAGGGGUUCUACUGAAGCUUGUCGUGUUCUUCAACAAAAGUACCGUAACUUAGGCGAAGAGGAUUGGAAUUAGCUUAAUAACAUAAACUUGAUAAGAUGUUAAAAGAUUAACAGAAAAGUGUGAAAAAAUAUUAAUUGUGAUUCUCAAUUUUAAUAAAAUUACACUAAAAAAAAAAAAAACUCGAGUUCACCUUCAUUGAAUCAAGAGAUUAGAACACUAAGAUUAGUUUAAACUUAAAUAUGUUUUCAUGGAAUCUAAUGUUCAACUCCGAUUUUGGGUGAAAUCAUUAGAAAAUGACAGAAUAUGGGAUCUUUUUCUGGACAAGAGAUCAUAAACAAAUUUAGAUAAAAGAUUGUUACACUAUUUUUUAUUUAUAUAUUAUUCUAGCAUUUUCUACCUAGGAAUAUGAAAUUCUAAGAGGAUUUCCAUUAUUAAUCAUUCUUAUCAUAAUUCUUAUAACGUAAUUGUAAAAAUUAAAAAACUAGAGCCGGAAUAAAGAAUUUUGCUUAGUCCAAAAUACAGAUCAGUAUCCCAUCCAGUUCAACCACUAUACCAUCGUUAUAAAAUUUCCUGAAAAUAUAAUAAUUUUAUUGCAAAUUUUGUUCUCAUAUGGCCGUGGUGAGAUUAGAGCAGGAUCAGACAAACACUAGCAUAUUCGUGAAGAAUAUUCUAUUACUAGACACUAGACCCAGUCCAAACAUGAUCCAGUGCUUCAAACUAUGAAAGCCCAAACACAACACCUACCAGAUUUUUUAUUAGGAUGACCAAAGUUAUUUAUCAUAUUCUGCUUUUAUGAUCAAACAUAAAAACAUACGCUUUAAGAAAUUAUCUGUCAUGAAGUAAUUUCUGGUGCAUAGUUUGAUAAAAUUUAGUGGUUUGAGAACAUAUAAAUAGGGAUUACCAAUCAUUGAAGAGCCAUAUAUACAUGGAUAGCAUAGAGCAGAUGAAAGAGGAGAUAGAGAAGAUUGAAGAAAGUCCCAGUUCAGAUAGCACAGCAACACCUCUAUUAAGGGUAACUAAUGAUGGAGAAGAAAACACAAGAUGGUGGAAUGGAGUGUUGGACAUGGAAGAGGCCAAACAUCAACUAUUGUUUUCUCUUCCAAUGAUUCUUACUAACAUAUUCUAUUAUUUGAUCACUUCGGUUUCUGUCAUGCUAGUAGGUCACCUUGGAGAGCUUCAGCUUGCUGGUGCUACUCUUGCAAACUCAUGGUUCAAUGUCACUGGCUCUGCCAUCAUGGUAAUUCCUCUCUCUUUUCAAAAGCCUUUCCUAUAAAAUAAUAAAUAGAUUAAACUCCUUGAUCAUAGCUUUAUUCUGUUGUUUUUAGGUUGGUUUGAGUGGGGCAUUGGAAACACUGUGUGGACAAGGAUUUGGAGCAAAGGAAUACCAAGUGUUGGGAAUUUACCUACAAGCCUCUUGCAUCAUAUCUCUAAUUUUUUCCAUCAUGGUAUCCAUUAUUUGGUUCUAUACAGAACCUGUCCUAGUGUUUCUUCAUCAAUCUCAGGACAUUGCAAGAACAACUGCUCUCUAUAUGAAGUUUUUGAUCCCUGGAUUAUUUGCAUACAGCUUCUUGCAAAAUAUUCUGAGGUUUCUCCAGACACAAUCUGUGGUAAUGCCAUUGGUUGUACUUUCAGCUCUUCCAUUGUUGGUUCAUAUUGGUAUUGCAUAUGCCUUGGUUCAGUGGUCAGGUCUGAGCUUUAUAGGUUCACCAGUUGCAGCUUCCAUUUCACAAUGGAUAUCAAUGCUAUUACUGGCCUUUUAUGUCAUGUAUGCUAAGAAGUUCAAGCAGACAUGGCAAGGCUUUUCAACGCAUUCAUUCCAUUACGUAUUCACAAACAUUAAACUGGCUCUGCCCUCUGCUGCAAUGGUAUGGUAUGAGCCACAAAACAACCCUUCACUUUGUUAGUCCUUUUGACCAUUGAUCUUUCUUUACUAAAUCAGUACAAGUAGCCUAUUUUGCUAAAGAUACAUGAUAUAGAUGUGUAUUGAAACACUUUCUGAAGUUCAGAUUAUGAAAAUGUUAUUAUAAAUUAAUGUAAGAGUGUAAGGUCCUUAAUUAUAUAUAUAUCAUCAUACUAUCUGUUGUUUAUGCUAUGCAAGUUUGGAGUACUGGGCUUUUGAAGUUUUGGUUUUCUUAAGUGGUCUACUGCCAAACUCACAGAUAACAACUUCUUUGGUUGCAAUAUGGUACAGUUCCAAUAGCUCUAUAGUCUUUUUCCUCUAAACAACAAAAGAUUCAAAUGAUUUACUGUUGUUACAAUCUUCAAAAAAUCUGCAGUUUAAACACACAAUUCAUUGCAUACACAAUCCCUAUUGGUCUCGGGGCUGCUGCAAGGUUAGAUGGUUGAACACAUUCUUCUUUGCUUGCGUUGUUACAAAUGUUCUGAAUCAACAUUAUAUAUAGUACAUGAAGUGAAAAGUUGAAGUUUAACUUAGACAGCACAAGGGUAUCCAAUGAAUUGGGAGCAGGCAACCCGGAAGGAGCUAAACAUGCAAUGAAUGUCACUGUCAAGCUCUCUUUCCUGCUUAGUUUCUGCUUUGCUUUGGCACUUGGAUUUGGACAUGAUAUCUGGAUUCAGCUUUUCAGUGAUAGUUCCAAAAUUAAAGAUGAGUUUACUUCAGUGACACCCUUGCUUGCCAUUUCUAUAGUACUAGAUGCUGUUCAAGGUGUCAUGCAAGGUUUGAAUUUCUUAAAUUGUGCUAACAUCUUUGAUGUUUUUGUCAAAUUUCCUUGUCCUACCUCUCACUUUUUUACCCUUACUGUAACACCUUUAAUUGUUUGACCUGGUCCCUUAUUUGUUUUAGAAAAACAUUUGUGUCUGAAAAGUUAAAAAAAGUCUAAAAAACUUCAAGUUCUCAGGUGAAAAUUGUGUUUAAUGCUACAGGGGCAGCCAGAGGAUGUGGCCUGCAACACUCCACUGCAUACAUUAAUCUUUUAACUUUUUAUCUUGUUGGCUUACCAAUAUCAUGUCUCCUGGGAUUUAAGACCAAUUUGCAGUAUAAGGUAAAUAAAAUAUUUUGAUUUUCUUUUUGUUCUGAUAUCUUGAAGAAUCAUCUUGAUUAUGAGACCUUUCUGCAUUCAUGAGUUUUAUUAUUGUGCUUGUAUCAAAAUCUAUAGGGUUUAUGGAUUGGUCUGAUUUGUGGGCUGCUAUGUCAAGCUGGAACUCUCUUCCUUUUCUUAAGGCGUGCCAAAUGGACUAAACUGGAUGUUCUUAGAGACAAAGAUAAAGAUCAUCACAAACUGGCACAAAAUUAAUGACAAAAGAUCAUCACAAAAUUGGGUGAACAUGAUUUUUGUAAAACGUUUCUUGCUCAUACUCACUUUGAGAAUGCUAUAAUAUGAACUAAGCAACUAAGAAAUUCUGCCUUGAAAAUCACUAGAUUAAUGAGAGAGUAAUUUCUCGCAUAAGACCCUCUGAAUAUUUUUUUUCAAUACAUUCUUCACUUGUAUUUAUAUUUGAAUGAAGAAACCUCAUUCUUGAAUGUUUGAUUUAUCAGGGACAAUACAUAUGAUUAACUCUAUAGUCCAUGCAAAUGUGAUGUUUGAUGAAAAGAGUGUUUCAUAUUUUGUUGAAUACGAUACUGCAUGGAAGGAACUAGGCUUGAAACUUUAAUUAAUGUAUACCGUAUCUCGGAUCCAAGUCAGUAAAAAUGUUGUUCUAUAGGAACAUGAAGCGUGAACCUUAAAGUGGUAAGAUAUGAGUUUUAACUAAUAAUUUGGAGGAGCCAAAAUAAUAAUAUACUCAAAAUUUAUAUAUUUAAAUAGUUGCCACUAAUACAAUAAAAGUACAUAAUUUCAACCUUGAAAUCUCUUAAAAAAAUAUGAUAGUUUUGAAGUUGUAUUUAAUAGGUUUAAUAUAUUGGUAGGUCCCUAUUUUUGCCCUGAAUCUCAAUUACGUCCUUUUCUUUCUCAAAAUCUCAAUUGGAUCCUUAUUUUUGUAAAAUUGAAGCAAUUAAAGGUCUACCGUCAAAUUUAACAAAAAGCCGUUUAACUUUAGAUUACGUGGCACGGCCAACCACUUCAUUAGUCUUACAUGGCAUUGAAAAUGAAUUUUAUAUUAAAAAUUUGGAUUACAAUGUGGGCAUAAUCAGAUUUUAGGAAGGUCAAAGUGGGCAAAACGAGUUAUGUGUUUCAUUAGUUAAAUCUGCAGAGGAAACAAUCUGAAACGCAGAGAAUCAAAUCCCUAAUUCCCAUUUGAAUCAAUCUACAGAUGAAUCAAAUCCACUUUUCCAGAUGAAUCAAAUCCCUAAUUCCCUGAUGAAUCAUACAGGAGCCAUUUUUCCCUUUUCGUCACACCUUCAACUUCAACACACUUACCAUGCAAACAGCCACAAGGAAAGAAAUGGAAACUUAUGAACUCUUCCACAUGAACAAAGGCGCAGGCGAAACUAGCUAUGCCAUGAACUCUUCCGUUCAGGUUAAUUAAUUUCCUCUUACUUAUCUUCUCUGUCACAAACAUUCAACCUAUAUUCUUCUUACAUCGUACCUUAAUUUUUGCAAGAAACUACUACACUCAUGAUGUUGUGCUGAAAAAAAUGAUAAUUUUUGUUUUUUUUUACUUUGCAGAACACAAUUAUCUCUUGUGCAGAGGCAUGGAGAAAGAAAGCCAUUGUGCAGAUUCUGUGCACGAGUUGGCCUGAGAAGAUGGGCAUUGUUGAUAUGGGUUGUUCCUCCAGCCCUAAUGCCUUGAGGGUGAUUUCUGAGAUCGUGGAUGGCGUCUACGCGACCACGCGUCUGUUGGAGUGGUCGCCGCCGGAGUUGGUGGUGCAUUUGAACGACCUCUUCGCCAAUUAAUCAAAUCCCUAAUUCCAAUUUAAAAAAAAAAAACCUAAUUUGAAACAGCAACCAAGAACGCGAUCCCCACCACCCACGAGAACGACCACUGAGAUGCCGAAACAAACCCUCCCUCUUUGCACCACGAAUCGGACCGACCAACGUCCUUGUGUAGUCGUCGCGACCUUGCUGUACCAUCGAUUUGUUAUCUUCCGUUGCACCUCCACAAGGUCUUUGUCUCUGCUCGAAAACGCAAAAUAUUAUUGCUCCCAACGUUGAGUCUGUUCGCGUUAGUGAAAGGGAAGAAGCUUCAAGCUUCUAAAGUUCUGCGUUUAACUGGAACAGAGAAGAAGAGAUGGGAAAGAGUUUUCCCUUACGCCACCUAAGGGCUAAAUUUAGAUUUUAGCAUUUUCCUACUUUGCCCUUAUGUGAAUCUGAUUCAAUCCAAAUUUUUAAAACAAAAUGCCAUGUAAUCUCAAUUUAAACGGCCGUUUGUCAAAUUUGACGGCACGUCUUUAAUUGCUUCAAUUUUAUAAAAAUACGGAUCCAAUUAAGAUUUUGAGAAAGAAAGGGACGUAAUUGAGAUUCAGGACAAAAAUAGGGACCUACCGAUAUAUUAAACCUAUUUAAUAUGCAUUCUAUUUUAAAUAAUGUAUUUUAAUUUCAUUUUUUGACCUAUUCAAUAUUUCUAUAUUUGAAAACAUUUUCCAAGAUCACAUCUUAAAUAGUCGUCUCUACUUUUAUGGGUUUGGUUCAAAAUGAUCCUACCUUUUAAGAAAGUUCAGUAAGAUCCCAUAAUUUGUUAAAAAAUGUUCUGUCUGGUCCUUUUCGCUCACGCCGUUAAAAACUUAACGGUACAAAUGUCAUCGUGGCGCGUAACCUUACUGAACUGUGAAAUUUGAUGAAUAUGUGGAUGUUCUUCUCUUCUGUUUUUAGUUCACAGUUCCUCUUCUGCACUUAAAACGACUCCAUUGAUUUGGAAGCUUUUAAAGCUCCAAAUUUGUGCUUGUGACCUUUUCAGAAUCAGUUUUUCAGUUCAGUUUUUCAUUGUUUUUGUUUCUGAGAUCAAGAACAAUCACAGAUAAAGAAAAAAAAAUUGUUGUCUUCAACAGUUGUUCCAUCAUCCUCCCCUCUCACUUUCACCAAACCCAAUCCUCAUUUCUUCAUCAAUGUAUCUCCCCAUCUCAAACCAAAUCUUCUCACAAGGUUUCAAACCCAACACAGAGUCACUCCUCUCCAAAGUUCCAAACUCUUUUUCACCCCAACAUCUCAGAUCCAACAUUCAAUCUCAAAGGUAAGAUCUUUCAACGGAUAUCUUCCUCACCCUCUUUAGCCCUCGUCAAAACUGGAGGAGAAAAUGUUGACCCCAAUGUCCCCAAAUCCAAGAAUCUCAAACUUUCAAUGUACAAGGAUUGUGGGGUGCCCUUAUUAGCAAUGUUGGUUUUGUGUUGAGGAACAUCUACACUUUGAUCGCUUAAACUUGUAUGGCUGGAUUACCAUUGUUUCAUUCUUGUACCUAUUUCUAGUGGCUAUUUUUGUUGAAGGGUCUCAGUGGAUCCCUGGGUAUUACAAGGCUAUUAGGAAAACCAUCCACAUUUUAUUUCUGGGUGCUGUGUUCUGGGGUUCUCUACCAUCUUUAUAAUCAAUCAUCAUACCAAGCACUUGAUGAAAUUAGGCCGUUGACUUUCUUUGUGGGAAACACAAUGAAAAGAGUGGUGGUGAUUGGAUCCCUCUUUUAAAUUUAAAAGAGUUGGAGUUUCCAGAGUUUCUGGGCACAAAGAGAUUAGGGCAUGGGAGGGAGAGGCGUGCAUGGAAAGCUGGUGGAGGUGGAAGAAGAAAUUGACGUGUCAUUUUAAAUUUUUUUAAAUAUUUACACAGUGUAACGUCCACGUAUUUAUCAAACUUGAUAGCUCACUAAGAUUGUGCCACCAUGACAUUUGUACCGUUAGAUUUUUAACGAUGUGAGCGAAAAGGACCGAAUUGAACAUUUUUUAACAAAUUAUGGGAUCUUACUGAAUUUUUUUAAAAGGUAAGAUCAUUUUAAAAAAAAAAAACCUAUAAAAGUAGGGACCAAAAUAGGUAUUAAACCAAUAGUUAAUGUAAAAUUCUUCAUAUGUUAUUCUUUGAAUCUUAAAAGGACUCUUUUCUAAUUGAACAAUUGGGUCAUUAAUAUAAUACUUUAGAAUAGGUGAAUAAAUUGAAUUUGUGAUGUUUUUAUCUUCACGUGUAACUUCCAUUUUAUCACCUUCAAAAAAUUAAUUUAUUCUUUUAUUCUUCAUUAAUAUAUCUAUUUUAAAAAAACAUAAAGAUUUAAAAAAAUUAACUAUAUGAAAAAACACUAACAAUUAAUUUCUCCUCUUAUAUUCAUAAAAAAAAUUAUUAUACAAAAAGAGUCAUAAAAUAAAAAUUAUAUAAAGUACCAUAAAAAUAAUAUUUCACUAUUAAGUAGAUAAAAGAAAAUUAUUUUUUUCUUAAAAAAUGAAACAAAACAUAUUAGUAAGGAAAGUUGAAUAAUAAAUUUAUGUUUAACUCUACUUUUCUUCAUAAACAAAAAAUAGCAUAAGAGAGAAAAGGGUUUUUUCUUUAUGUUUUUGGACAAAAUCACUUUGAAAAUUAUCAUUGUAGGAAUUUUUUAUUUAUUUAUGUAUAUAGGCAAGUCAUGCAACCCUCACACGACUUCAAAUGAAGAAUUCGUGCAGGAGGUGCACGACUUCUACACUAUCAUAGUGAAAAAGGUGAAGUCGUACACCCUCACUCAUUUUCAAUGCCUACUAAUUGAUUACAAGCAGUUGUAAUCGAUUACACAGUGUUAAAAUCGUGCAGGGUGUCCACAAAUUUUAUGGUAAUCGAUUAAGCUUUUGUAAUUGAUUACAAGAAUGUUGUAAUAAAUUACUAGAGACUAAAAUGGUUGAAGUAAUCGAUUAUUGUGGUUGGUAAUCGAUUACCAGAGGGAUUUAGGCAUAAAAAACUUGUCAUUUUUGCUUUAUACUCAUCAUAAAUUGGAUCAAUUGUUUAUUAAAGUAGAAAAUAAGAUAUAAUAUAAGGCAAAAUGUAGUUUAUUAAUAUUAAAAAAUAUUAAUAAAAAGAUGUAAGAAUUAUUGACAAUAUGGACAUGUCCCCCCAUGAUGACCUUCGUUGUGGCAGUAACAAUAUUUUUUAGGUUUAUCUAAGAUCGACUAAUCCAUAUCAUUAUGGAUUAUAGUAAUAGUUAGUCUUCCUGAUGCCUUACAGACUAAUAAUCUUCAUUUUGGAAGGGGUGAAGUUAGACUUCAUAUGCCUUGUAAAUAAUUAUAUUAAGUUAGUGGUAUAUGUGAAUAUGCACAAACGACAAUGACAUGAUGACACAGGAGGCAUAUAACUUGGAAGUACCACGAUCACACCAUCAUUAAUUUAGCCCGACGUUAUACAAAAUUGGAUGUGGGUGAUAUUGGUGGAGUGUUGAGAUUUUCUGAACAUCAAAUUCAAAAUUUUCUCGAUCAUAGUGAUGAACAUGAUAAAAUGUGAAUUGUUGUUGAUUUUUUUGAAUAAUGUUAGUAAUUUCUUCUGGAUAUUGGUGGCCGACUUGUAACAUGUAUUGUGCUUUUAAACCUCGUUCAACAAACCAUGAUUGUGUCAUCCCAAAUAUUGUUUUGAUUAGAGCACAAAUUUGUAAUGAACGUGCUCUCUUUAGCAUGGAGUUCGUGCACUUAACAAGAUUUGUGAUCAUAUGUUCAUACCUUAUACCUCUAUCAAAAGUCUUAGUCCAUUUCUUUAAUGGAAUUUUAUUUAUCCAAGCUACUUGUUAGGGGAAUAGGUCUCUCAUUGCGGUAAGUUUUAUUGUUACAAUGGGUUGUUUCACUUCAUAAGUUAUAAGAACAUAACAAAAUAAAAUUGUAAGAGUUCAGUGUAUGCAAUUUUAAAAGUAAAUUAAUAGUACAAAUUAGUUAAUUAUUACCCAAGUUUAUGAAUUAUCGCCUGAGUUCUUGAUAUUUUUAAUUUUUUAUUAAAGUUUGAGGCUAGAUGAGGUAUGCAAUAAACAGAGCUUAUACCAUCUUUUUUCCAACCAACUUCUUCUGAUCUUAAGCUGAUAAAAUGCCCUUCCCUCUAUUAGUGAUGAUGCACAGAUUUUGAGGGUAACAUGCUCUUGAAGUAAUUGAAAAAGCCUCCUUUGUCUCACCUUCUAUAAUACCAAAUUUCAAUGGAAAAAAGAUUUUUGUUGUCGUCUUGAGCGAUUGUAGUGAGCAAAGUUCCAUGAUACUUACCUAUUAGAAAGGUUCCAUCGACUUAGAGAAUGGGUUUACAAUUUGUGAACCCUUUUUUGCAUGGACCGAACAACCAAAAAACUCUUUCCAUAACAUAGCAUGAGGUGUUUGAUACUCCAUCAACAUCCACGGGAGAACUAGUGCAUUGAAUAAUUGUCUUGGAUUUGCAUCUUAGACAAUAUGUAACCCCUGUGAAAAAUGAUUAUAAGAUUCUUAGACAACAUAUAUUUGUAUUUAUUAAAUGUUGUCUAUUAUCUUCAACUUAUCUCAUAAGUGAUUUUUCUUUUUCAUAAUCAACUCUAAAUAUCCUAUUUUCUCUUUCCUCUUGUAGAAUCCCUAAUUUCCUCUCUCCAUGCACAACAUCGUUUCCCCCCUUUUUGUCAAAAGAAUCUUCCCGUCUCUUGCCUUUCACCUCUCAUUCACUUCUAAACACUAAAAUCUCAUAUUCCUAUCAGAUUUCUACGAUUUCCAUCGAUUAAAAGCUCUAAAAAUCAUCAAUGGCGAAAUCCUCAAUGAUAAAGUGAUCAGUGCAUAUUUAUGUCCUCGUGUAGCCUUUAAUAUUAGAUUCUUAAUUGGUUUUUGAACUUUAAUAGAAUAUUUUAAUCAGGAUUUGUUAUAAUUGGGUUUAUUUAGCAUGAGAUACAAAAACAUGUUAAAAAUAACUUUUCAAUUGCAUAAAUGUUUUUUUGGAUAUUUUGACGUGCCUUAGUGCAGCAGUAGCUAAGUUGAGCUCAUUAAGGUAUGCAAAUAAAUUGGUUAAAGUUUCAUGAAACCUUAAAGAUAAAUCCAAGAAUAGCAAAUAAUCAAGACCACAAGAAGUCAAUCCAAGCAUAACAUGAAAAAAUGAAGAAAUUUGGCUAAGCUAACAGACAACAAAAAUUGGAUCUUGCGGUUUUCUCUAUUUUUUCUACCAAAAGGGCUUUGAUAAUUGAUAAAUGUUUAUGAUUAAAGAUAAUUUAGGAAAAACGUAUCUUGAGAUAUUUUAUUUGAUAUUGUUAAAUAAUUACCUUAUUUAAUUAUAUAAUAAAUAUCAAAAGAUAAUAUUUGUCAAAUCCUUUUUAAUCUAGCACAUAUCUUCUCAAAUAUUUUUAGAUCUCCACAACAAUCAAAUAUAUUUUGAAGAUAUUGAAUUAUUUAGAAGAUAAUUGGAGGAAAUUACAUUAUCGUAAAGAAGAUUACAACAACAGAAAAGCCUGAAACAAAGCCCAAUCCAAUUUCUAUAUAAAGAGACUUAGGGAAACACAUUAGGGGAGCUGAGGAACCCUUUGCAGGGUUCAAAUUUCGUCCUCCCUCUCUUCUCUCAUGUUCUCCACCCUCUUUUCUUCUAUUUUCAUGUUAUUUCAUCAUUCCAUGGAGUGCUAAGUCUUAAUGAAUUAGCAAGUGUACCGAAUCGUAUCAAGUAAUAAACAUGGUAAGACCAAGUAUUGUUUCCCAAGAGACUCACAACCUAAACAUUUAUGUGAUUUCUUGAUUAAAUAAGACUUGAGAACAAACUCAUUUGGUUCUAAAUGCAGAUACAAAAACGUAAAUAUGCAUGCAAUUUGAUCAAUUGAACAGAAGCACAGAGAUUAAUGGAUGAUGUUAGUAUUAUGAGAUGAAUAUGUUGUUGGGAGUUAGAUUUCACCUAGCUUACUCUCUUGUAUAAAAGAAUUCUUCUUCUUCAUUAAUGUCAAUGUCACUAUCUAAAGUGUUUAAAACUCGAUCCCUCAGUGAAGAAAGUCUAUCCUUAACUCCUAGGUCACAGUCCCUUGCAUCCCUAAUAAUUAAUUCUACAUUACAUACACACAGAAGCUUAAGACAACCAAAACUCAUAUCCCCAUCCCUAGGCAAUAUUGCUUUUGGGAGAGAUUUUCCAGAACCUAAAUUGUAAGAUAUCUCCCAAUACUUAUGCAAUUUAUACAUCAUGCUAUGAAUGAGUUAAACAAAGCAAGCAAUGAAAGAAGGAGAAAAACCCUAACACUUAAUAAAAGAAGCAUAUGUAACUAAGAAUCAAUUCAAAUACAUGAGAGUUCACAAGGUUACAUCAUUUCCCAACAACAAAUGGAAUUUAGUUCCCCAUUAACAUGGUGAAGCUAGAUGUACAAUGGAAGAAUGAGAUAGAAAAACCCUAAAAGUUGAAGAUGGGAGCUCCUGCAUCCAAAUCUGCCUCCACUGCACCUCUUCUGCAAAAAUAUCCAAACCCUAGGACGUCCAAGUCCUUUUAUAAAAUAGUUAAAAAGUCCAAGCUCACGUCACCGACGCUCAGCGCCCGACUUAGGGUGCCCGGGCUCAGCGCCCCACUUAGGGUGCCCGGGCGUCAUCCAAAAACAUAUGGCACUCAGCUUUACUCAAAAGGGUAAGCAGGCAUGGUGCGACUUGAGGAAGUGGCGCUCAGCACCACAAAAAGGGCGCCCAAGCACGGGCCCGAAGCUUUCUACGCUGAGGGCCUCAUAAAAGGGCAGUCAGGCGUGAGACAGUGAGUUCUGGCAUUGAGGGCCCCUAAAAAGGGCGCUCAGGCGUCCUGUGAUCCUCCUUUCUGAUGCUUUUCCAGUUCUUCCUGAGUUCCAACUCCUUAGUACUUCAACUCUUCUUCCAAAUCAUCUCAAUUCCUUCUAAAACAAGGGAACCUAGCCAUAGAAUCAUUAAAUUCACCUUCAACUCUCUUAUUCACACAACUUAAGCAAAAUCAUGAUUUCAAGCAAGUUCCUAAGUCAAAAAGGGUGUACUUAGUAUCAAAAUUAAGUCAUAAAUAACGGUAAAUUCACCAGUUAUCACUAAGCCUCUCGGGUUGAUUGUGUUGUAAUUUCUUAAUUGGAUUCUGAGGUUAGAUGAAUAACUUCGUUUGUUCUUUUGAUUCUUGUUUUGAUUUAUUUUUAUCUAUGUCUUUUGCUUCUUAAUCAAGUAAAAUUAAUGAUCUUCACACUAUAGCAAUUUAGCAUGGUGUGAAAUCUAUAUAACAUAUCAAUCAUAUGAGUCCAAGGGUUUUUAAUUUUAAUUGAGAAUUUACUUUGAUUAAAGUUAGAAGCUUUCAUAUGAUUGAAUGAGUUUUUUCCAAUAAUUGAGAAUGUACUUUAAUUAGUGGUAAAAACUUUAACAAGAAUUAAUCAAGAAUGUACUUUGGUUAAUUAGCUUUUUUAUUUGAUAUAAGAGGUAAAAGAAUAGACAUGAUUAGACAUAAUAAUAUUUAAUUGAGAAUGUACUUUGGUUAAAUUUACUAUGACUAAUCUACAAAGUUCUUGCUUUUAAUUAAGAAUGUAAUUUGGUUAAAAAUGAGAAUGCCAGCAAUUUAAUUGAGAAUUUACAUUGAUUAAUUUGAAAAUUUAAGACAAUAGUUAAUUGAACAAUAAUCUUUAGAUAACCAAUGAUGAAUCCUAUUUUGAAAAAGCAGUGAAAUUAACCUAUUUUCUUUAUCAUUGUCUUUCUAUCCUUAUUUAUUUUGUUCUUUAAUCUUUUAUUUUCUAUAAUUACUUCUAUUAUUUUAUUUUACUAACCUCUUUUGAAUAGCUUUUAUAAGAACUAACUUGUUAGAAAUCAAUUUCGUGUUAUUAGGAGACGACUUAGGGUUGAAUUUACCCUUUCUAUUUUGUUGAUUGCUAUCUUAACAAUACUGAAGUUGUUAUAGUUUAGUAGUAUUAAUUUGACCACGUCAACGACAGCCUAUCACAAAGGCUAAAGGGUUCUUCUUCUACUGCAGGAUGUCAUUGCCAUUAACCCACUAAGAAACCACCAUCACCACCAUCAUCAAAUCCAUUUGUCCCAACCACAUGUCUCGAUUUGUUAUUUUCUACCACUGCUCGGUAUGAAAGGUAUUGCUCUAAUUUUUUUUUAGCAUGACAUCAUUGAACCAAAAAUAUCUAUAUAUCCUAACUUUUUUGAGAAAGAAAAUUUAAGUGUUUUAAUCUGUUAACAAAUGCUGGUCUAGUUGAUUUUGUUUGUCACAAAAAACAUUAUUAUCCCAAGUUAAUAUGAGUCUUUUAUAAUAAUAUGCAUAUCUUUUAUGAUGGAGUCAUUCAUAGUGAGGUAAAAAAAUUUAGAAUAACCAUUCCACCCUUUUUAAAAUCAAUAGAAACAUACCUUAUGUAGGAUUGUCUUUUGAAGGUAAUAUACCUGAUGAGUGGACAAAUGAUUACUUUGGCCUAUAUGCUAGACAAAUCAUUUGUAACUUGAAUGCAAAUAUUUCGGAUAGAAUAAGUCGAUGAAAGUUGAUACUAGAAUACUUUAUUACAUUAUAUGUCGCAUUUUGAUUCCUCGUUCAACUAACUUUGCAAAGGCUACAAAGGAAGAUCUUAUUUGAUAUGAACACUUCUCACAUCAAGGGAGAUUAAUUAGGCUAUUCUCAUUAGACAUAGGAUGAAAAGACCUUAAGGAACAAGGCUCAUUUACUCAUUACCAUUUUUAUGGAGCAUUUUGAAGUUCCUUUGGAUGAUGAGUCAUUUGUUCAAGUGAAGAGGUCAUUGAGAAUUGGUGCUAAAGUUAUUAGUUCCUUACUACAGGAAUGAUUGAUAUUACCGACGGCCAUGAUUCGUCGGUAACGUACAAAAUCCGUCGGUAACGUACAAAAUCUGUCGGUAAUUAGCAUUUAUCGACAGCUUACCAACGGCCAACACACCGUCGGUAAAAAGGUUGUCGUAAACUUUUACCGAAGGCUUUUGGCCGUCGGUAAUGACCGAAGGAUAUAGGCCUUCGGUAAAUCCGUCGGUAAAUGUCGCGACCUGGUUCAUCUUCUUCCUCUUCCUUCCUCGCUCUGUUUUAUUUUUUUUUUCAUUUCCACGAACUCCACCACCAAAAAACCAUCACGCGAAUAACCGUAGGGAAACAUGGAGAGUUGAGCUCGCCGGAAAAGUUUAAGACCGAUGAUGUUGUGUCAUUUUAUCAUGGAGAGUUGAGCUCACCGGAAAAGCUUAGGAUCGAUGAUAUUGUGCCAUUUUAUUAUGCACAGUUAAGCUCACCGGAAAACUUGAGCUCGCCGGAAAAGUGGAGCUCGCUGGAAAAGUUAAGCUCGCCGGAAAAGUGGAGAGCAUCCCGUGAUGGCGGAGAGUAUCCUGCGACGGUGGAGAGCAACCCGCAAUGGCAGAGAGCUGAAGCCACAAGACGAUAAGGAGAAAUGAGAAAUGAGUAGUGGUGGUGUGAAACUGAGAUGGUAAAGAAAAAUGAGGAGAAAUGAGCGUGUUUGCCCAUUAUAUUGACACUGGGCGGUAAAUCCGUCGGUAAUGUCGGUAAGUGAGAUAAUGGGCGGGAAAAUUCCCGCUCUUUUUACCGACGGCCAAAAGCCUUCGGUAAAUCCGUGGGUAAGUGACAUUAAAGUUACCGACGGGCACGAGCCUUCGGUAAAUCCGUCGGUAAUGUCGGUAAGUUACCCACGGCCAAAAGCCUUCGGUAAAAUCCGUCGGUAAGUGACAGUGCCAUUAACGACGGAAAAGGGCUUUCGAUAAAUCCUUCGGUAACUGACAUUGUCACUUGCCGAAGGCUUUUGUCUGUCGGUAAAAGAAAAUCAAAAUCCCUCAGUAAAGUCGUCGGUAAUGGAAUAUUUACCGACGGAUUCACUUCCGUCGGUAAAAAUACGUCAGUAAUAUUAAUAAUUUUUGUAGUAAUGAUGUAAUCAAUUAUUACAAAAGUCAUGGACCCUCUACACAAUUUUUUAUUGUGUCAGUGUAGAAGUUUCGCAUCCCCUGUAUAACUUCUUCAUUUGAAGUCGUGUGAAACUUACACGACUUGUCUAUACAUAAAUAAAUAAAAAAAUUUGCCUAGUUUUCAAUGUGUUUUUGCCUAAAAAUUUAAAAUAACCGGAAACACAGACCAUCAAAAGAUAGGGAGAGAAAAUUUUAAAAAAUUCUUAAAUUUUUUAUUCUUUAUUAUAUUUAAUUUUAUAUUUUACUAUUUAUUAAAUAACGUGUUUUAUAAAAACUAAAAAGUCACCUAAUUUAAUUGUGAAAUUAUAUAUUUGAGAAGUUUGAGAAUAUGCUUCAUCCCUGGGUUUAGGUUACUUCAAAUGUAUCUUCUGCGAUAUUUUUGUGCAAAUAGUAUAUAUCGAUGCAAAUAUUUUCUUAUUGUUGGGAGCAAGCAUCAAACAACAUUAUGAUAAAAGAAAUAUUAAUUAAUAAUAUCAAACUUACGGUAUUAUAGUCAUCAGAAAAUGGAUAAUUUUAUCAAAGUGGGUCAAUUUCCUUUCAAAAUUACAUAUACGAGUUUGGUUUUUAAAAACUUGUUAAUAAGUCAUGUUAUGUAAAUAGGAUUUAUUAUAAAAGAAUCCUUCCUGUACUACAUAACUUUUUGAGCUACGAAAGUGAAGUUAUAUUAACAAUGACAUUAAGAAUAUAAUUUACCUAAAAUUUUAGCUAUCAUAAUGACAUUCACAACACUUUACGAAAAAAAAUCAUUAGUAUUAUAUAAACUAAAUGAUUACAAAAAAUCGGAACAUCAUAAGAAAAUUAUGUUAAUAAUUAAUAGGAAAAGUUUUUUUUAAUUACUUUUUUUACAAUUUUUUACAACAGUUUAUGUAUAGUUUGUUGUUUAUUUAUUUCAAAUAUACUUAGUAAUAAAAUAAUAACACAUACUUUAUUAUUAAAAAAUUGUUCAAAAAAAUUGUGAAACAUAUAGUAGUCGUAAUUAAUGUCAAUAAGUAAGAGAAAGAAAAAAAAGGAAACAUUAUAUAGGAUAAUGAUGAUGUGAUAAAUUUUUUACAUCGUCACGUGUCACAUUCUGGGUGGUCGACGUGUUUUAAAAAAUAAAAUGAUAGAAUGGCGUAGAUUUAUUGUGGAGUUCAAGAGUGGUAGAUUCAAAUAUGCCCUAUUGGUGUUAAAAGUUAGCCUAAACUAUCCAUUUAUUUGUACAUUGCUACCACUUUCCUUUUUGCACCAUAACUUUAAAGAAAAACGCUUUUUUUUAUGAAUUUCAAUAUAAAUAUGUUCUUAAAUGAUAACUAAUGAAUUUUAUUCAAUAAAAUUGGUUAAAAAUAAAUUAUGGAAUUUAAAACAAGUGAUAGAUUCAAAAAUGUUCUCCUCGUGCUAAAAAUUAGCUUAAACUUCCACUUAUUUGUACAUUGAUUAGUACACAUUGAAUCCACAUCAUUUUCUCAUUUUAUUUUUUAAAACAUGUGAAUCACCCAGAAUGUGACACAUGUCGGUAUAAAAAAUUUGUCAAUGUCAAAAGUAUCAUUAUCCCAUUACAUAUUCCUCAUGCAUCUAUUUAGUGGGGAAUGGUGACAGAGGAAAAUGAUCCACAACAAAGAAAGAACAAAGAAAAAAGAGAAAAAAAAAUAAUGGUAAUCAUCUUUUGCAAUUAACAGAGGCAAGAAAAGGGCCACAAGAACACAUAUUCAUGUCAAAAAAUAGAUGCUUCCAUUAGCGUCAUUCUCGACCCAAUUUAAGCAGACCCCACAUGUUAUUAAGGUUGUUAUUUUUGUUUUUCUUGAAUGAAAGAAUUAACAGAAACGAAAAUGAUUUGUAAAAAGGUUGCAUUGAUCCUGUUGGUUGCGAGCAUGUUGAUGACGAGCCAUGGUCGUCGUGUAACUAUUCUUAAUCCUGGAACGAACAGUAUGAAUGACAUUAAAGAGGAGGGAUAUAGUGCGUCUGAACAUGUGAUGCAACGUGGAAAUGACAAUAACGUUAACAAGGAUGAAAAAACAGUUCAACAUUGUUACGCACAGUGCAGCGCAGCAUGCGUUAAUCCUAGUAGCACCGAAGUCGAGAAUAUCUGUUAUAACAUGUGCAAAGAUCAUUGUCAUUUUUGAAAACCCUCACCACAAAAUGUUUUCACCUCAAAUAUGUCUUCUAUCUUUCUAUCCUUCCUUCAUUUCUUCUUUUUUCUUUUUUUCAUAUUCUGGUUACAAACAUUCCUGUACCUAUAUUUCGUCUGGCUUAUUUUGUACAUAGACAUUGAUAUUUUCACAUUCAAAUUUUUUUUUUAUAUUAUUUGAUACUAUUUUUUAUUAUUUAUCAUUUUUUUAUUUUUUUAUAUAUAUAAAACUUAACUUUUUUUUAUGAUUUCUUUUUUUUUUCUAAAUGAGUUGCCAAAAGUUUUCAAACAUUUUUUCUUUUUUUGUCUAUACCUAUGUAGCCGGUUGUAACUUGUAAGGUCUUCUUCUUCCUUUAAUAUAUGAUUAUAUUUUGUUGAAUCAAUAAAGUUGAAGUUCAGUUGUCUAUACAACAAGUUUGUCCAGGCUUAUUUUAUUUUUUAAAUUCAAAGUAUGAAGGAAUGAGUAAUAAAAAUAACCCUAUAGAAGUUUUAACAAUUAAAAAAAUAUAUUAUGAUUCUAAACACAACCCAUUUUUAUAUACUCUAUAUAUUAUCAUGUAUUAUUUUACUUUUUUUUAGGACUAUUUAUUGAUUUACUUAUAAUAGGAUCACUAUUUAGAAUAUGAUGUCAAAAUUGGUUUUAACUCGUUGGUCAAUUUAACUAGUGAGUUUGAUCUAAAAACAACUUUAAAUUUUUUUUCAAUGGAUCGAAAUAAAUUUAACUCACAGGUUAAGCAUGUUCGAACUAAAUUGUUGACAUAUAACUCACCAACUAAUACUUUAUUCAUAAUUUUACCAUUUUUUAUUAAAAUUAUUUACUAUUUUUAAUUAUAUAAGUUUAAAAUUUAAUCUUUUUAAGUACUAAAAUAUUUUUCAAUAAUAUUUUAAUACUUUAUAUCUUUAAUUUAUUUAUUUGUCAAGUUAUUUACAUUGAUAAUUUAAUUUUCAAUUACUAUAUUUAUAAUAAUAUUUGGAUAACUUAAUUUUUAAUUACUAUAUUUAUAAUAAUAUUUGGAAAAUUAAAUAUAUCCUAUUACUUUAGAAAAAAAAAACAAUCCAGAUAGAUACUUUUAUUCUAUUACUUUAAAAAAAAAGAAUCCAGACAAUCUAUUCUUAUUAUACUAUGAUAAAUAUAUAAAAUAAAAUAAAGUAAAUAUUCAUAAAUAAAUCAAUUUACUAAUACUUAUAUUUACAAAUAUAAAUGAAAUAAAACUGAAUCUAUAAAAGUAAUUUGAGUUAAAGGUCUGACCCAUUCCAGUUCCUUUCUUCACUCCUCUGUUUACUGUUUUCACCUCUAGUCUUAUUUGGAUGAUAUUACUACGUGCACCCCUUAGUUCUAUUCUUUGCACCACCAUUUCUGUUUGUUUUUGUCGGUGCUGGGUGUGUUUUGUGUUUACUUAAUGUCACUAACACUGCACCCGUCUGAUUUUUUUUGUUGUUCUUGGACUUGAUAUUUUUUUGUGUUUACUAGCAUCAUAUUCAUUACACACAUUGCAUAUUAAUUAAUUAUUGCACCACUCAUUUUACUAUUUUGCAUGUGUAUUGAAUUUAUUUUCUAUUUUGGAUCUUACUCGUGUGAUCAUUUCAAUCUUACCUGGUGAUCAUUCUCAUCAUCCUAAUAUUUAAUAUAUUUUAUUUUAUAAAUAAAUAAAAUAUGUUUUAAUGAGUCCAUAAUUGUUUCUAAGUUUAUAUAAUACUUGUCUCUUGUUUAAGGUGUGAAUGUGUAUGAUAUUAAAAAAAAAUUUAAACCACAUUUUGAUCGUCAUAAAAAAGGAAACCAUUGGAAGAAGAGAAAAUAAUGAAGAUUAGGGUAUUUUGAUGAUAAGAAAAAUAAUUAUAAGUCCAAAAAUUCAACAUGUAAAAGAUAGUGAAAGAUUUACCAUUUACAUGUUUCAAGCUUUUAUAAUAAGUCUUAGAAAAUAUGUAUAGGAUUUAGUUUUGAGUAGUUUCAAACCACUUUGUACAAUAAGUCAAAAAAAGUUGAAAGGCGUUAAGAAUUCUAUAUGAUAAUCAAUUAAUUAGAGAAGUAAUUGAUUAUACAAAUGAUUUCAAAACUUUCGAAAACUCUUAGAAAUUAUGCCUUGAUUCUUCCGUUUAUGCAAUAAUCGAUUAUCACUUUUACAUAAUCAAUUAUUAGUGGAGUGAUAAUUGAUUAUUAGUAGCAGUUGUGGCUUGAUAGCGAAAAUUCUAGACCAAAUUCGUGAAUGAUGCUUAUAAAAAGAGGGUUAGGCUUCGUUUGGAAAUAACAUAAGUAAGAAACGAAAUACUAAAGUUUGAGUAUUCAAGAACUUUCUACGGAAAGACUUUGAAAAAUCUAGUGUGAGUAAAGUGAGAACUUUCACGAAGUGAUCUUAAGUAACUGAGUGUUGUUGUUGUUGCUAGGAGAGGUCGUUCAUCCUUUGCGUGAUUGAAAGGUGUUCAUUCAUUUUGGAUUUCAAGAAAGGUGGUUAUUCAUCUCUAGUAGGAAUCAAGAGAGUUGUCUUCAUCUCUUAUAGGAUUCAUCUCAAAGGAUGUGUUCAUCCCUUGUGGAUUUCAAGGGAUGUGUUUUUCAUCUCUUGUGGCUUCAAAGUAGGUUUUUUUUAAACCUUAAUUUUAUUAUUUGUGAUUGUUAGUUUAAGUUUAUUUUACUGAUUGGUUAAUAUCUCUUUAUAGAGACUAACAACUAAAUGUAAGUUCUUUUGACUCGAACUAGUAUAAAAAUUACUUGUGCAAAUCUCUCUUUCCCUAUAUUAUUUACUUUUCGUGUUAUUAUUUGUAAAACGAGUUUAAAAAGAGGGAACAUUUUCAAAAACACAAAUUUGUUAAAGAAACCAAUUCUCCAAACUCUUAGUUUUUGUCCAAACACAAUUAUUUCAAUGUGCGACUUUGACAAAAGAAAAUUAUAAAUAUCGACAUGACCAAAAAUGAAUCUGGCCCACUAAGAACUUAGCUCACCUAGGUUGGACUCGUGGUGAGCCGACACCCCACCCAUAGAUUCUAAAUAUUAAUAUAUAUUAAAAAAAUGAAAACCUAUGUUCUCCUAUCUUUAAAUGUAAAUUAUAUUGUGUUUUUGUCAUUUUGAUUGUAUUUGGAGUUUAACAUCACUUUAGAUUGUAUUUAGAUUUUAAUUAGAAAAAAAAUGUAAUUUCUUUUUGAAUUUAACAAAAAGAAAUUUGUAAUUGAGUCAAAACAUUUAACCUACCAACCUAUGGUGGGCCAACCAGGUUUGAAAUUUUUGUGUUUGCUAAUAAAUUAGUAGGGUUAGGUUGGCUCACUAAGUGGUUACCCCGUGGUGGGCUGAGUCGGGUUGAGUCAGGUGGUCUGUUUUGACAGCUCUAGUUUUCUAGAAUAAACUACGAUGGCGAGUCCAAAACCUAUUUUUAAAUAUGUUUCUUUCUUUAUUUGUCAUUAUGUCGUGAUUUCGAUUGUGAUAAUGUGUUAUUUGCAUACACAUUGGCUUUCCUAUCCGAAAGCCCCUCAAAUGACGAAGAACCAAUCACACUUGUCAUUAUUAUCUUAUUAAAAAUCGUAGGAGAAGAAGAAGCUCUUAAGAGAAUAAAACCACUAUUUAUAGAAAGAACCCAAGUUAACAUUCGUAGAACGCCAACCAUUGGAUCUUCUUUGAUCCAACAAUCUAAUACUAAUGAUGCUUCAUAUCAUUCUAACAUGCAUAAUUCUUUAAGUGACGUGACCUGUUAAAAAGGGGAGCCAACAAUUAUAACGGUUAAAGUAUCACAACGUUUGAAGACAUCGUAAUGAUCCAAACAAACCUCUCCAUGGCUACAUUGACAAACUGAAUGGCAAAUAAAAAUCUUCAUAUGUCAGACGGUUUAAUCUGAAUUUUGAAGAGAGGAGGGGGUGGGGGGAAGUGGAACCUUAGGAUUUUAUCAUGAUGACAUAAUUUCUCACUUAUCAUGACAAUCCACCAUUAUUGAAAGUGUUGAGUGACUAACGUCGUUGUUGAAGAUAAUGACUUCAGUAUGAAGUAACUUGUCUUCCAAGAAAAAUACUUCAACUCAAGGUCUAAUAUACAUGAUACACCAAUCAAUCUUAUUAACUUCGAAAAUGAUAUUUUAACACCAAUUUUUGACACCAUUUUGACACUGCACACAUGUCAAAAUGUGGUUGGACGAUUUCAAAUUAAAAAAAGCUGAGACAAGAGCAUAUUUGGAAGAGAAAAACCAAAGUUUCUUUUUUAAUUUGAAAUCAUCCAACUACAUUUUGACACGUGUGUAAUGUCAAAAUGGUGUCAAAAAAUUGGUGUUAAAAUAUCAUUUUCCUAUUAACUUUACGUUGGAUGACUUUAGGUCCUAUGACCGAUCGACUUUGAAGAAAGAUAAUACUGAUAAAUAACUAUAGAAUUAUUAUGAUAAACAAUAUUAAUAUGUUAUUAGACUAUUAUUAAACUGUCAUUAAGAUAAAAGGUCCAUUAAAAGAACUAUAAAUAUGUUUUAUAAGAAGACAUUUAUUAUUUUUUAAUAUACUAAAUUUAUUAAGUUAUGGUUAUAGCAUUAUUAAUUACUAGUCAGUUGGAUAAAAUCAUACAACAAGAAAAGAGAAAGUGUUAAAGAAAAGGUAAAAAAAAAGUAAACAUUGACAAAGUAAUCUAUCUCAUCCGAUGAAUAUUGAAGCAUCUUCAAUCUUACACACACACACACACACACACACACACACACACACACACACACACACACACACACACACAUAUAUAUAUAUAUAUAUAUAUAUAGAGAGAGAGAGAGAGAGAGAGGCAGCCAGGCCCAUAGAAACUAAAGGCAGCAUAGCCUUGGGAGCAGGGGCUUUUACUAAGUCUGAGUUCAUUUUAGCUAAAAUUCUCUCUUUCUCUCUCUAAAAGUUGGGUUCUUUAGAAGCUCUGCCUUCUCUUUAAACCUUGCUCCAUCUUCUCUCUACCUUUUCUCAAAUUUCUACCGUUGCUUUUUCAAAUAGGUGGUGCCCCUACAUUCUCAGAGUCGAGGGCUUCCAAUCCAUUCGAUUAGUUUCGCAUCUCUCCGCUGAUAAGGUAAAUUUCCCAUUCUCUGCACCCUAGGGUUUUACUCAUGCAAAGGUUAUACCUUGCAAGUAGCGUUCUUUUUAUUUUCCUUAUCCUAUCUAGCUCUAAAGACCGUGCUGUACUCCAAUUUGGUGGCUUGUAGGUACUGUCAAAAUUACCUAUGUGCAGAGGUACUGUUAGGGCGUUUUCUAGGAACUGUGUUGUGAGAACCAAAAGGUAAGGGGAGUGACUGAGAUGUUAUUAUUGCUUGUGUAAUGUUCUUGCUCAUCUUCUUGCUUUACUUCAAAUCUUAUUUUCCUUGUGGUUAGAUGGGGUUGCCCUUAUCAUGUUAAUUGGGUUACAUUUCAGACUUAGAAGAGAGUGAGUGUAAUAAAUAUAUAGAUGUGAGUGUGUUUCUGGUAUGUGAAUGAAUAGGGAGAAAGGAGGUUGCAUACUGAGGGGUGUAAAUCUCUUGGUAGAAUGAGAUCCGUUGCGGGUUAGUGGUAGGAAGAUAGGUUAAGGGAUACAAGGGGUAUCUAGAUAAUACUUUGUAAAGUUGUUUCUAGCGUAAGGGUUAAGGGUUUUAGUUACUGUGAGAAAGUUUUGGAAGAGAGAGUGACAGGGAAUGGAUGCUGGGAAAUUGAAAGAUUAAGAGAAAGAAGAGAGAAGGAGUUGGAUGGAUGAGAAAGUGGAAAUAAUGGGGUUGAGCCUUAGUGGUUAAAACGCAAAAUUGAAAAAGAGGGUUGUCCAUGGUUUAUUAUGCAGUGCUUACGGGAAUGUGAGUCAGGGUCUUAACAGGAAUGACCAAAAGAGUGUGAGUGUUGAAGUAUAGAGAGAUGACAAAAAGAGUGUGAGUGUUGAAGUAUAGAGAGGUGAGUGGAUUGUGGAAGUAGAGAACCAAAAGCAAAUAGAGGGAGGUUGAGUGAGUGUGUGUGAUUUUUACGUGAAGGUGAGAAAGAGAAUGGUGAUGAAUGAAAAAUAAAGAGAAGAGCUAUUGUCUGGUGUGUGAGAUGACGUAAAUCAAAAGAAUAAAAUAAGGAUGUAUAAUUAAGGCAUGGAUGAGUGGGCCAUGUGGAAUUGACAUUUAUUAUGGCAAUAUUUUAUAGUAAGAAAGAAAAGUAAAGAAGUUACACGAGUAUGAGAAAGUGAUGAUGAGUAUUUGUUAUUAUAUUAAUAGAAGAAGUAUGAUGUUGGAGAGAGAAGAUGGAUUUAUGUGAAGUGGAAAAGGAUAUGGAAAUUUUGGUGAAUUGUUAAUGCACCCACUUAAAUGAAUGAUGAUAUAUAAUAAGGUAAACAUGUUUUAUGGAGAGAGAAGAGUCUUAAGUGAGUUAGUAAGAGUGUAGGAAAUUAGGUGGGCCAUGUGGGGUCCACAUGGGUAGUUAUGUAGUUUAAUAUUAUAGUAGGUUUUGUUAUAUGAAAAAAGAGAAAUAAAAAUAUUGAUGUGGCUUUAGUCUUGACGAGAAAAGUGAGUCAUUGGGAAACUCAUGGUCAGGAGCUAUGGAUUUGUGCUCGAAGCGAAAAGAGUUUUUGGGUAAGGUAUGUCUUUGUUUUUAUGCCUAGGUUCGUGUGGGAAAGGAGUGGUGUUUCUUUUGGGGUCUCACGAGUAAUUGUCAUAAUAAUUAAAUAAUUACCCUUGUAAGUUUUGGUAGAGAAAAAGAAAUAGGACAGGUGUUGGUGAGACUGACCUGAUGAAUAACCUGUGACAAAGGCGGCUUAGUUGUAAUGAAUUUGUACAUUUGGGAUGGGUCACGUGAAGCAUUAGCUUUUAGUGUUGUAUAAUAAAAUUAAAUAAUUAUUAUGGUGUAGUAACACUUUUUGGUUGAUGAAUUACAUAUAUUAUAGAGAUUACGUGUGGAAACUAAUGAUAAUUUUGUUGUAAGCUUUGUGAUUCAGAAGAAAUGUAUAUUGCUGAGAUUAUUUGUAUGUUGAUUGUGGCAAAAUGUAUAUGAUUACAAAGUGAUGAAAUUACGAUCCAAGUGGUAAACCAAGUUCGAUCUGUGUAGAAUCUCUUGGUGAGAUUCUUAGUGUUUUAGAAUGAAAGUAGGAGCUCAGUCUUGGGGGUCUUCAUAACGCUCGAUUGGUCUUUCUUCUCACGUUGAGAGGAUUGAAUCAUGUGGUGAGGAGUAGAAGGAGGUCUUACUCUAGGAUGCUUCCAGUAUGAUCCAGGGUGCAGAACAGACUAACCUCGUGAGUGUGGCAGGGUGGGGGAGCCCAAGUAUCACAAGCCACCACGGGUGCAUGGUCCGACAUAGCUCGACUAUCAUUCUAAAGUUUGGAUGCAUCAUGUCUAGUAUCCAACAUGUUAGGAUAGAUGUUAUAUCUUGUUUGAUUUAAGUUAACUCUUGCAUGUAUAUGUUCUUAUGAUGCAUGCUUUUUAUAUAAUUAGCUCACCCUUGCUUGCUUGUGUUUGUGCCAUGUUGCGUAUAUUUUUCUUGUGCAAUGAUCAACCACUUGGAUGUGAGCAAAGGAGAAGGAGGUUUCUUUGGAGACAACUUUGGAAGGAGAUAGAGAUGUUGCAACUUAGUUUUCUAAGCUUUAUUCCAUUGAACUCAAGAUAUUUUGAAGAACUUUGUUGUAUUUCAAGUUUUAAAUUCCUAGCAUUUUGCAAGAAGACUAUAAUACUCCAAUUUUAAGUUCUCGUACUGUAAUCCUAAUUACUCUUGACUGCUUUCCUUUAUUAUGCAUGAUGACGUCUUUAUUAUAUAUGUCUUCUCUAUAUAAUUCGGAUGUCACAUUUAUGGUAUCAGAGCAGUUUUUGUCCUUAGGAAAUUCUAUAGGUUGCGUGUGCGCCUUGCUUUUGCUUGUGUACUCUUAGCAUAUCUAGGCAAUUGUUUCUGCCUCUUUGAAUUUGAUUGAUGGUCUCUCUUCUCUGUGUAAACAGAACAUUGGCGCCUAGGCCUCCUCCACCUCCUCCUCCUCAGUCUUAGGCUUCAAAGAAUACUCUCCAACUAGAGGCUGAGCUUGAGGCGAUGCAGCAACAAAAUGCUGCCUUGGUGCAACAAACCACCAUUGCUCUACAAAAUUUAGAAGCUGCAAGGGUGGCCACUGAGAGUGCAAGGGUGUCAGCAGACAAUGCAAGGAUAGAGACUGAUAACACCCAAAGGAAACUCAUGGAGAUGCUGGCUAGAGGUGUACCCACUCCCGGUACUUCCUCUUCUGUUGUUCCAGCUCAGGAGUGGACUUUGGAGAGCUUUCUCCAACACCAUCCCGCCAGGUUUACUGGAAAAUGCAGCCCUGAUGAGGCUGACCACUGGUUCCAAGACAUGGAACGAAUUUAUGAGGCGAAAGGAUGUCCAAACGAGAAGAAGCUGGCCUACACUCAGUACUUGCUAACAAGAGAGGCUGGCCACUAGUGGAAUAGUAUGAAGAUGAUCCUGGAGAGGAACAGGACUCCUAUCACUUGGGAUUUGUUCAAAACUAAAUUAUACACUGAAUACUUCACAAAUAGCGUCAGGUUUGCUAAGGAGGUAGAAUUUCUUGAGUUGGCACAGUGCAACAGAUCGGUGUCGGAGUAUGCAGACCGUUUUAAACAUCUGCUUCGCUUCAACACCAUGACGGUAGAUGAAGAAUGAUAGUAUCGAAAGUUUGAGAAUGGAUUAAGGAAAGAUAUAAAGUUGGUGGUGAAGGUUUUGCGCAUUAGGGACUUCUCCGCUUUAGUGGAGAUGGCUCGUGAUAUGGAGAAGACUAAGGGAGAUCUAGUGGGGCCUCAGAGACAGCAGAGCUUACCACUGAGGGUUGGUGAACCAGUGGUGUCCAGAGGUGGCUCCAGUUCUAGGAGGACCCCUUUUUCUAGACUUAAUUCCUUUGGGUCCAGGGGUUCUUCCUCUCAGUCAUCGGGGUAGUCCAGCUUUGCUAGCCCUAUGAGAUGCUUCAGAUGUGGAGGACCUCACUUCCAGGUUGUCUGUCCUCAGCUAGAAGGGUAUAAGAGAUGCAACAUUUGUAAGCGCAAGGGACACUAUGCUAGAGAUUGUCCUACUACCAGGAGGGCUGGACCGUAGCCACGCCAAGCUAGGAGAGCCAUUUAGAGACGGGUGUCAGACCACAGGCUGCAAGGAGAGUUUAUGCUUUGACCGGAGCUGAGGCAGCCAAUGCAGGUAAUUUGAUUGUCAGCAGUUGCUUGUUAUUUGGAUCUUCGUGUGUGACAUUGUUUGACUUGGGGGCGACACAUCUUUUGUGUCUGAGGCUUGUGUGGAGAGGCUUGGUCUAGUUGCCAGAGAGUUUCCAUGUGAUCUAGUGGUAUCUACACCAGCAGCUGGGUUGGUUAGGACAUCUAAUGUGUGCUCCAGAUGUUCUAUUGAGGUAGAGGGACGCAGGUUCAGGGUGAACCUUAUUUGUUUACCUCUAUAGGGGCUACAGGUAAUCCUAGGCAUGGAUUGGUUAUCCGCCAAUCGUAUUCUUCUAGGUUGCGGGGGAAAGAAGUUUAUAUUCCCUAAUGGAGACAAGAACAUGCCCUUGUCACUGGGUGUGUUGAGACAAGAUCUUAUAGAGGGCGCUCGCUGUUUCCCGAUCAUGUCUUACAUGGACGUUGUUCAGGACUCAAACCCUUCAGCUCCUAGAAAUCAGAGUGUAGAUCUUCUGGUUGUGAAUGAUUUCUUGGACGUAUUCCCUGAGGAAGUUCCAAGUCUACCUCCUUCGAGAGAGGUAGAGUUCUCUAUAGACUUGGUCUCAGGAGCAGGGCCAAUUUCUAUAGCCCCUUAUAGGAUGGCUACGGCAGAACUAGUGAAAUUGAAGAAACAGAUUGAGGAGCUGCUUGAGAAGCAAUUUAUAAGGCCUAAUGUGUCACCAUGGGGUGCACCGGUUUUACUAGUAAAGAAGAGAGAUGGCAGUUCAAGACUAUGUGUUUAUUACCGACAGCUAAACAAGCUCGCUAUCAAGAACAAGUAUCCUUUGUCAAUGAUAGAUGACUUGAUGGAUCAGCUACACGGAGCUACACUUGUUCUCCAAGAUAGACCUACGGUCAGGUUAUCACCAAAUCUUAGUAAAGGCUGAUGAUGUGCAAAACACAACUUUUAGAUCCAGAUAUGGCCAUUACAAGUAUGUAGUUAUGCCUUUUGGUGUGACUAAUGCUCCAUCUAUCUUCAUGGAUUACAUGAUUAGGAUAUUCAUACUUUCUUGGAUAAAUUUGUGGUUGCCUUCAUCGAUGACAUCAUGAUUUAUUCUAUGACUCGGGAAGAACACGAAGAUCACCUUCGGACAAUUCUUGAAGUAUUAAGGGAGAGAAAGUUAUAUGCAAACUUGUCCAAAUGCGAAUUUUGGAUGGAAGAAGUACACUUCUUAGGACAUGUUAUCUCGGCUGGUGGGAUUGUUGUUGACCAAGCCAAGGUACAAGCAGUGAUGGAGUGGGAAAGACCUAAGAAUGUUACAGAGGUCAUGAACUUUAUGGGCUUAGCGAGCUCCUAUCGCUGUUUUAUUGAGAACUUUGUACGGAUUAUAGCGCCAUUGACACAACUGACCAGGAAGGAUCAACCUUUUGUUUGGACUAAUAGGUGUGAAAUUAACUUCCAAGAGCUAAAGCAAAAGUUGACGAGUGCACCGGUGUUGAUUACUCCUGACACAGGGAAACCCUUUGAGGUUUACUGUGAUGCCUCUUACCAGGAUUGGGGUGGGUGGUGAUGCAGGUGAUGAAGGUUGAAAAACAGUGAUUUUCAUAUGUCAAUUUGGACCAAAUUACACCCUUUACUACUCGGAAUGAGCUCAGAAUCAAGCAAAACUCAAUAAAUGAGUCUNGAGAGAGUCAAAAGUUGUUUUUAGCGAUUUUGUGCUUAUUUUGCAUUGUUUUGUAGCUAAUUUGAGAAAAGUAAGAAUGGAGUUGAAGAUACAGGUCGUUGACUCAAGAAAAGAGCAGAAAAAAUGAAGUUUUGAAUAGUCGACGUACCGCCCAGCGGCACACUUAAACCGUUGGGCGGUCCAGGACGAGGAGUAGACAUGGAAAAUGUCACUGAGGGAAACCGUCGGCGCCAGCGAUUGCCGUCGGGCGGCGACAGAAGGAUAUGGGAAACCGCCGGGCGGUGGCGAUUGCCGUCGGGCGGUGGCGGCAGGUUAUGGGAAACCCCCGGGCGGCACACUUAAACCGCUCAGCGGUGGCUCGCUGGACUUGGGCCUGAUUUUGACGUUUUCCUCACCUAUAUAUACCCCUACUACGAAUUCAGAGUCAUUCUUUUGACAGGGGAGAAAGGCCAGACCUAAUUUUGCUCUCUGGAGAGGAUCUCUUGGAUGCUUAGGCUCCUUUUCAUCUUUUCUAGGGUUUUCUCUUCCAUUCUUCUUCCAUUUUUCAUCUAGUUUCACCAUGUCUAUGGUGAACUAAACCUUAUUGUUGUUGGGGAAAACAAUGUAAUAUUUUGAUGCUCUCUCUUAUUGAAACUAUUGAAUAUUUAUAUGGUCUCCAUAUGUUUUGAUUGAUUAUUGUUGGGUUAUCAUCUGUGCUUAAGGCCUUUAUCGUUUAACUCAUUCGGUAUAUUGAUGUUUGUCGUUAUUGAUAUGGGGACGUACAGUAAUGACAUGAACUGGUGAGUAAUCUCUUGAUUUUGCAAUACCACCUAGGGAUAGGGGUAGGACGACCAAUUGCGCUAACUUCUGUUUAUAAUGCAGUAUUAAUUUCUUCUCACGUUGAGAGGAUUGAAUCAUGUGGUGAGGAGUAGAAGGAGGUCUUACUCUAGGAUGCUUCCAGUAUGAUCCAGGGUGCAGAACAGACUAACCUCGUGAGUGUGGCAGGGUGGGGGAGCCCAAGUAUCAGCAAUACCACCUAGGGAUAGGGGUAGGACGACCAAUUGCGCUAACUUCUGUUUAUAAUGCAGUAUUAAUUACUAGGGGAGGCUAGGGAUAGCAAGCCAGUAGUUAAUAUUAGGCCCUUUUCGCCGAGGGAUCGGGUUAAGGGUAGGCUAAGAAAGUCGCAUAACAAUUGAAUCAAUAUGAUAUUCAAGGGUAGUAUGUAAGAGAGAGCGGGAUAGAUGAAAUUGUUAGUACCCAACAACAUUCAUUCAUCCAUUGUUUUCGCUUGUCAAUUGAAUCAACCUUUAUUUUGCAUGUUAAUACUUUUGCUCUCAAACCCAAUUUAUAAAUUUUAAUUUCUCAAGUCUUAUUAUUUUAAUUCACGCGAACGAGGAAGCCAUACGAGUCUCUUGGGAAACGAUACUUGGUCUUACCAUUUAUAUUACUUGUACGAUUUGGUACACUUGCCAAUUUGUCAACAGCAGGAGAAGAGAGUAGUCGCUUAUGCCUCGAGACAACUCAAAGUACAUGAGAAGAAUUACCCCACUCAUGACGUAGAGUUAGCCGUAGUCGUGUUUGCUUUGAAGAUGUGGAGGCAUUAUCUCUAUGGUGCGCAGUUUCAAGUGUUCAGUGACCAUAAAAGUCUUAAGUAUUUGUUUCAUCAGAAAGAGUGAAACAUGAGGCAAAGGAGAUGGAUGGAAUUCCUCAAACACUAUGAUUUUGAACUCUUACACCACCUUGGGAAAGCUAAUGUGGUAGCAAACGCAUUGAGUAGGAAGUCGGUCCAUGUUUCUUGCUUAAUGGUUAAGGAAUUGGAGCUAGUGGAAAGCUUUAGAGACUUGAGAUUACAAGUUGAGUUAGAGCCUGACAGCAUCAGAUGCAGUAAGUUGGUGGUGUCCAGUAGCUUGAUAGAGCGUAUUAAAGAAGGAUAAUUGUUAGACCCCGACCUUCAGACAUCCACAGCUUUAAUUGGCACUGGAAAAGGGAAGGACUUCAACAUAGGGAUGGAUGGUCUCUUACGGUUCAGAGGUAUAACGUGUGUCCCCAAUGAUGGAGAAUUAAAAAGGUUAAUACUUGAGGAGGGACACCGUAGUCGUUUUAGCAUACACCCAGGUAUGACUAAAAUGUACCAAGACCUUAAGAAGUCAUUGUGGUGGUCUGGUAUGAAGAAAGAUGUGGACCAGUUUGUUGCUUCUUGCUUGACAUGUCAGAAAGCUAAGGUAGAGCGUCAGAGACCUGGAGGUCUAUUGCAGCAAUUGGAGGUUCCCGAGUGGAAAUGGGAUAGCAUAGUCAUGGACUUUGUUACCCAUUUGCCACGCACUGUUAGGAGGCACGAUGUUAUAUGGGUGAUUGUGGACAGGUUGACCAAGAGUGCUCACUUUUUGGCAAUCGAUUUGAGAAUGUUUAUGGAAAAGCUGGCACAACUAUACAUUAAGGAGAUUGUGAGACUUCAUGGAGUAUCUUCCAGUAUUAUGUUAGACAGAGACCCGAGGUUUACUUCCAGGUUUUUGCAAACACUACAGAGUGAGAUUGGUAGUAGACUACAAAUGAGCUCUGCUUAUCAUCCCCAGACCGAUGGACAGUCUGAGAGGAUAAUCUAGAUGCUGGAAGACUUGUUGAGGACAUGUGUCCUGGACCACUUGGGAGUCUGGGAUGAGGUGCUACCGUUGAAUGAGUUCACUUAUAACAUCAGCUACCAAGCCAGUAUUGGCAUGGCGCCGUUUGAGGCCUUGUAUGGGAGGCGCUGCAGAACUCCCUUGUGUUGGUUCCAAGAUGGAGAGGCAGUGUUGAUAGGGCCAGAGCUAGUACAACAGACCACGAAAGUGCAACCAGUUAGAGUUGAGGAAAGCCAGACCAAAAAGCUUAGAGGGAAGACUGUCAGACUCGUCAAGGUCAUUUGGAAUGGUAGAACAGGUGACUCUACCUGGGAGCUAGAGGAAGAGAUGUGGGAGUCCUAUCCUCACCUAUUCACUGCUAAGUUUAAUUUUCAGGGACGAAAAUUUUUAUUUGUUAAGGAGAAUGUAAGGGCCAAAGAAAUUUUAAAACCAUUGGGCCUUAAGUGAGGCAGCCAGGCCCAUAGAAAUUAAAGGCAACAUAGCCUUGGGGGUAGGGACUUUUACUAAGUCUGAGUUCAUUUUAGCUAAAACUCUCUCUCUCUCUAAAAGUUGGUUUCUUUAGAAGCUUUGCCUUCUCUCUAAACCUUGCUCCAUCUUCUCUUUACCUUUUCUCAAAUUUCUACCGUGGCUUUUCAAAUAGGUGGUGCCCCUACGUUUCUAGAGUGGAGGGCUUCCAAUCCAUUCGAUUAGUUUCGCGUCUCUCCGCUGAUAAGGUAAAUUUCCCAUUCUCUGCACCCUAGGGUUUUACUCAUGCAAAAGUUCUACCUUGCAAGUAGCGUUAUUUUUAUUUUCCUUAUCCUAUCUAGCUCCAAAGACUGUGCUCUACUCCAAUUUGGUGGCUUGUAGGUACUAUCGAAAUUACCUCUGUGCGGAGGUACUGUUAGGGCGUUUUCUAGGAACUGUGUUGUGAGAACCAAAAGGUAAAGGGGAGUGACUGAGAUGUUAUUAUUGCUUGUGUAAUGUUCUUGCUUAUCUUCUUGCUUUACUUUGAAUCUUAUUUUCCUUGUGGUUAGAUGGGGUUUCCCUUAUCAUGUUAAUUGGGUUACAUUUCGGACUUAGAAGAGAGUGAGUGUAAUAAAUAUAUAGAUGUGUGCGUGUUUCUGGUAUGUGAAUGAAUAGGGAGAAAGGAGGUUGCAUACCGAGCGGUGUAACUCUCUUGGUAGAAUGAGAUUCGUUGCAGGUUAGUGGUAGGAAGAUAGGUUAAGGGAUACAAGGGGUAUCUAGAUAAUAUUUUGUAGCGUUGUUUCUAGCGUAAGGGUUAAGGGUUUUAGUUACUGUGAGAAAGUUUUGGAAGAGAGAGUGACAGGGAAUGGAGCUAGGAAAUUGAAAGAUUAAGAGAAAGAAGAGAGAAGGAGGUGGAUGGAUGAGAAAGUGGAAAUAAUGGGGUUGAGCCUUAGUGGUUAAAACGCAAAAUAGAAAAAAAGGGUUGUGCAUGGUUUAUUAUGUAGUGCUUACGGGAAUGUGAGUCAGGGUCUUAACGGGAAUGACCAAAAGAGUGUGAGUGUUGAAGUAUAGAGAGGUGAGUGGAUUGUGGAAGUAGAGAACCAAAAGUAAAUAAAGGGAGGUUGAGUGAGUGUGUGUGAUGUUAACGUGAAGGUGAGAAAGAGAAUGGUGAUGAACGAAAAAUAAAGAGAAGAGUUAUUGUCUGGUGUGUGAGAUGACGUAAAUCAAGAGAAUAAAAUGGGGAUGUAUAAUUAAGGCAUGGAUGAGUGGGCCAUAUGGAAUUGACAUUUAUUAUGGUAGUAUUUUAUAGUAAGAAAGUAAAGUAAAGAAGUUACACGCGUAUGAGAAAGUGAUGAUGUGUAUUGGUUACUAUAUUAAUAGAAGAAGUAUGAUAUUGGACAGAAGAUGGAUUUACGUGAAGUGGAAAAGGAUAUGAAAAUUUUGGUGACUUGUUGAUGGACCCACUUGAAUGAAUGAUGAUAUAUAAUAAGGUAAACAUGUUUUUUUGGAGAGAGAAGAGUCUUACGUGAGUUAGUAAGAGUGUAGGAAAUUAGGUGGGCCAUGUGGGGUCCAUAUGGGUAGUUAUAUAGUUUAAUAUUAAAAUAGGUUUUGUUAUAGGAAAACGGAGAAAUAAAAAUAUUGAUGUGGCUUUAGUCUUGACGAGAAAAGUGAGUCAUUGGGAAACUCAUGGUCAGGAGCUAUGGAUUUGUGCUCGAAGCGAAAAGAGUUUUUGGGUAAGGUAUGUCUUUGUUUUUAUGCCUAGAUUCGUGUGGGAAAGGAGUGGUAUUUCUUUUGGGGUCUCACGAGUAAUUGUCAUAAUAAUUAAAUAAUUACCCUUGUAAGUUUUGGUAGAGAAAAAGGAAUAAGACAAGUGUUGAUGAGGAUUGACCUGAUGAACAACAUGUUACAAGGGUUGCUUAGUUGUAAUGAAUUUGCACAUUUGGGAUGGGUCACAUGAAGCAUUAGCUUUUAGUGUUGUAUAAUUAAAUUAAAUAAUUAUUAUGGUGUAGUAACACUUUUUGGCUGAUGAAUUACAUAUAUUAUAGAGAUUAUGUGUGGAAACUAAUGAUAAUUGUUUUGUAAGCUUUGUGAUUGGGAAGAAAUGUAUAUUGCUGAGAUUAUGUAUAUGUUGAUUUUGGCAAAAAGUAUAUGAUUACAAAGUGAUGAAAUUACGAUCCACGUGGUAAACCAAGUUUCAUCUGUGUAGAAUUUCUUGGUGAGAUUCUUAGUGUUUUAGAAUGAAAGUAUAUUACUGAAAUUAUGUAUAUAUUGAUUUUGGCAAAAAGUAUAUGAUUACAAAGUGAUGAAAAUACGAUCCACGUGGUAAACCAAGUUUCAUCUGUGUAGAAUCUCUUGGUGAGAUUCUUAGUGUUUUAGAAUGAAAGUAGGAGCUCAGUCUUGAGGGUCUUCCUAACGCUCCAAUGGUCUUUCUUUUCACGUAGAGAGUACUGAACCAUGUGGUGAGGAGUAGUAGGAGGUCUUAGUCUUGGAGGCUUCUAGUGUGCUCCAGGGUUUGGGACAGACUAACCUUGUGAGUGUGGCAGGGUGGGGAAGCCCAAGUAUCACAAGCCACCACGGGUGCAUGGUCCGCCAUAGCUCAACUAUCAUUCUAAAGUCCGGACGCAUCAUGUCUAGUAUCCAACAUGCUAGGAUGGAUGUUUUAUCUUGUUUGAUUUAAGUUAACUCUUGUAUGUAUAUGUUCUCAUGAUGCAUGCUUUUUAUAUAAUUAGCUCACCCUUGCUUGCUUGUGAUUGUGCCAUGUUGCGUAUGUUUUUCUUGUGCAAUGAUCACCCACUUAGAUGUGAGCAGAGGAGAAUGAGGUUUCUUUGGAGACAGCUUUGGAAGGAGAUAAAGAUGCUGCGACUUAGUUUUCUACGCUUUAUUCCAUUGAACUCAAGAUAUUUUGAAGAACUUUGUUGUAUUUCAAGUUUUAAAUUCCUAGCAUUUUGCAGGAGGACUAUAAUACUCCAGUUUUAAGUUCCCGUAUUGUUUAAGGAUGACUAUAAUCCUAAUUACUCUUGACUGUUUUCCUUUAUUAUGCAUGAUGACGUCUUUAUUAUAUAUGUCUUCUCUAUAUAACUGGGAUGUCACAUAUAUGAUGUACGGUAGUAUAUCUCUGACGUUCGGUCUGCUAAACCGAGCGGCCAAGCUUGCUAAUCAAAUGGGCCGAAUCAUCUUUAUGGUCUAGCUCUAUUGGGCCCGAAGCCCAUCAUCUCGCAAAUACAAAUAAAUGAACAAUAUCAUAUAUCACGUAUCAAACAAUAUCUCAGUAGAGAUAUAUCAGGUAAGUUUGUUUAUAUUUUAUUUUGUUUAUAUUUUAUUUUGUUCUUAACAUCAUAUCAAUCCAAAGCCUAUAAAUAAAGAACAAAAGGCUCUAAACAAGGUACGCUCAUAUUCUCUCACACUCAUACUUUCACUCCUGACUGAGUAUCAACCCUCUCCCCAUUCUAAGCAUCAACUUGCUGAGGAUCGAGGGUCUUCCUACACCGACAUCUAACUUGUUCGUCGGAGUGCCUUUACUGGUACCCCCCCUCUCGGGUGAAGGUUGGAACUUGACGGACGGUCUGAAGAACGGACGACGAAGGUAUUUGAAGAUCUUGCACCGGAAAGAAGCAGAAUCGCGUCAUCGAGGUUAGUACUUUCGGUCCCAGAAAUUCUUACCGAAACAUUUUGGCACCCACCGUGGGGCCUAAAGUGAAAACUCCCUAUGGUGACCACCAGAAGCAUGGACGGUAUUGAUCAUACAGAACUCAUAAGGUGGCUUCAGACCCAACUGGAGGAAUAGACUCAGAUGAUUCGCCAACAACAAGAAGCACACUAGAAACUUGUUGAAGAGAUGGCCCGACUUAAAGAAAAACGACCGGAGAUGACGGAAGACAACAACCAUACUGGCGGCCACAACGACGGUCACAAUAGUGGCCGGAACGACGAUCCCCAUGACGACAGCGGUCGCCUUCCGCGAUCGCCUGAAUUACUACCUUUCACUGAAGUGAUUAUGCAGGCUAUAAUGCCCAAUCGACCUCCCCCUCAGAUUGAAAAAUUUGACGGAACAACGGACCCCGAACACCAUCUCCGGAAUUUCGUCGACUCCAUGGCUUUCUAUUCCAAAAGCGAUCCAAUCAAGUGCAGGGCUUUCUCCUUGUCCCUAAAAGACGAAGCCCUAGAAUGGUACUACACUCUUCCUCCGAAUUCUAUUGACAGUUUUCAUAUUGUCACCACUCUAUUCAAAAGCCAAUUUUCAGCCAACCGGAGGGAGAAGGUGUCAGCUGCCAAACUCGUCAAUCUCAAACAAGGGAAAGACGAGCCGUUAAGGACAUUCAUGCGUAGAUAUUCUGAAGCGGCGAGAAGAGUGAAAGGUGUCACCCAUGAGUUCAUCAUCAACAACCUACCCAACUGUCUCAAACCGGGGUUUGUCUCGGAGAGCCUAUACGCUGAAUUACCGAAGACUAUGGAGGAAUUACAGGAGAAAAUGACCAAAUUCAUCAAAAUGGAAGAUCAACGACACUACCGCAAGAAAGUUGAGGCCCCCAUAACUGAAGCUAAAUGCGAGGACCAGCGAUGCAUGAUAAAGGUCAUAAUCAGAGGCCCCCCCGAAGAGGGCUUCCAGUUCCGCUCGGUCCUCGCUACAACCACUAUGCACAUCUCACUGUUCCGAGGGAGAAAGUGUUUGAAAAAGCCCUCCAAACUAACUUGAUUACCGUUCACAGACAACGCUCGCCCAGGGAUGCGGAUGGCUCUAAAACUUGUCGGUUUCAUGACAACCGAGGACAUUCCACAGAAGGAUGUCAAGGCCUCAAAGACGAAAUCGAAAGAUUAAUCCGUGCCGGAUAUCUGCGGGAAUUUGUUAAAGCAGAAACGAAUCAACGAGGGCGCUCGCCCAAAAAGAUAAGGAGAAGCCCCGAACCUUCACGCCGAAAGACCGAACGCUCCCGAGGGCGCUCGAGAAACAGAUCUAGAAAGCAAGAUACGACCCCGAGAGGUCGCAUAGACACCAUCUCCGGAGGUUUUGCUGGGGGCGGAGCCUCAUCCUCGGCCCGCAAAAGGCACUUGCGGAACUUGCGUAGCGUCCACACAAUAGUUCGAAAUCCCUUAUCAAUGCUGGACAUCACCUUUACCGACAGGGAUUUUCAUGCCCCAGACCCAGAACAGGAUGAUACUAUGGUCAUUACAGCCCGAAUAGCGCAGUAUGACGUGAGCAAAGUUCUGAUAGACCAGGGAAGUUCGGUUAACAUUUUAUACUGGACAACAUUCCAGAAGAUGGAGCUGACAGAGGAUGCGAUAACACCCUUUCACGAACAGAUCGUUGGAUUCGCAAGGGAACGUGUUGACACCCGGGGAUACCUCGACCUGAGGACCCGCUUGGGCACCGGUGACAAGUCCAGAGAAAUUCGUGUGCGCUUCCUGCUGGUCGAAGCCAACACUUCAUAUAACGCUUUUCUAGGGCGUCCCUGCCUAAACGCUUUCGGAGCGAUUGUAUCGACUCCUCAUUUGGCGAUGAAGUUCCCGUCCGAAAGCGGCGAAAUAUGCACCGUUCGAGCAGAUCAGAAAACCGUUCGGCAAUGUUACACCGCUUCCUUAAAAGCCACAACUUACAGAAAAGAGAGAAGACCUGAAGCUAUCCUGGUUGACGUAGACCCUAGAACCAACACAGAUGAUCGGAUUCAACCCAGGGAGAGAUUAAACCGUUUGUCCUGGGGAAGAAUGUCGAGCAAACUACUAACAUAGGGGCUGAUCUCACUCCCGUCGAAGAGAACAACCUAACAACACUACUGCGGUCCAAUAAUCAACUCUUUGCGUGGAGCGCCUCAGACAUGCCAGGGAUCCAUCCCAGCGUUAUCACACAUAAGUUAUCCAUAUUUCGAGAAGCUCGACCAAUAACACAAAAGAAGAGAAGGCUUGGCACCGAAAAAAGGGUGGCCGUACAGAAGGAGGUUGACAAACUGGUCAAGGCUGGAUUCAUCCGGGAGAUAACGUACACCACUUGGUUGGCGAAUGUGGUCAUGGUGAAAAAGGCGAACGGUCAGUGGCGAAUGUGUGUAGAUUUUACUGAUGUCAACAAAGCUUGUCCCAAGGACAACUACGCCCUUCCCAGCAUUGAUCGACUUGUAGAUGACGCCUCUGGACAUAUUGUCCUCAGUUUUCUAGACGCAUACUCCGGGUAUAACCAGAUUCCGAUGUAUGCUCCCGACCGAGAUAACACGGCUUUCAUCACUGAACAAGUCAAUUACUGCUACAAGGUAAUGCCAUUUGGCUUGAAAAAUGCAGGCACAACUUAUCAGAGACUCAUGGAUAAAAUCUUCCACAAUCAAAUUGGGCGAUGCAUGGAGGUUUACGUGGAUGACAUGAUGGUAAGAAGUUGUUCCCAUCAACAACACUUGAAGGAUCUAGCAGAAGUCUUCCACUAACUCAAACAAUACGGAUUACGCCUGAAUCCGUCCAAAUGCACGUUUGGGGUGUCAGCUGGUAAAUUCCUAGGUUUUAUGUUAACAAAUCCAGGAAUUGAGGCCAACCCGGAUAAAUGCCGAGCAAUCCUGGAGAUGAGAAGUCUAACCAAGUUGAAAGAGGUUCAAUGUUUAGUCGGACGCCUCACCGCUCUAUCACGGUUUAUACCAAAGCUCUCCGAUCAUAUCAAACCGAUACUCAAAAACAUGAAGACAAAUGUCCCUCGACAUUGGGACGAUCACUGUGAGGAGGCCUUCUCCGCCGUAAAGAACAUAUUGACCAAUCCGCCCAUCAUGAGCCGUCCGACAAAAGGGUUUGACUUACAAUUAUAUCUGUCCGCAUCCAGCCAUUCGGUAAGUGCCGCCCUUAUUCAAGAGGCACUGAUCUUUAAGCUCAUUUAUUUUAUUACCAGAACCUUGCAGGGGGCCGAGGAACGAUACUCUCAGGUGGAGAAAGUAGCAUUGGCUCUACUAACAGUGGCAAGACGGCUCCGCCCAUACUUUCAAAGCCACCGAGUUAUUAUCCGAACGAAUCAUCCGAUCGCCAGGAUUCUCAGGAAACCGGACCUAGCAGGAAGGAUGGUCUCCUGGUCCGUCAAAUUAUCUAAAUUCGGCUUGCGUUUUGAACCACAGGGCUCCAUCAAGGGCCAGCACUUAGCAGAUUUCGCAGCAGAACUACCCCCGACGACAGAACCGUCCUUGUGGAAUUUGAACGUAGACGGAUCCUCAGAAAAAAAAGGAGGAGGAGCCGGUAUAGUACUGGAGGGACCGAACGGUCUUCUUGUCGAGCAAGCAAUAUCCUUCACAUUCCAGCUUAGUAACAAUCAAGCAAAAUACGAAGCCCUAAUCAACGGACUACUCUUGGCCGCCGAGCUGGACAUUGAACACUUAGAAUGCCGAAUGGAUUCCCAACUAGUUGUGGGGCACAUUAACGGAACCUUCCAGGUCAAGGACAAUCAUUUACUACGUUACUAUCACAAAGUCAGCGACCUCAUUAAAGCGUUCGCCACUUUCAAAAUCACCCAUGUACCCAGGGCGUAAAAUUCCCGAGCGGAUUUACUUUCCAAGCUGACACAUGCCCGAGGAAACUCCUAACUCACUUCAGUAAUCAAAACCACGCUGGAACAACCUCUUUUAGAAACCUGCUCUACCAACGUCAUUCCUUCCAAGGCUGACUGGCAGCAAGAUAUAAUACAGUUGAUGAUUCAGCAAGAACAUGGUACACAGGUAAGUGCGGCCGAUUCCAAACGAAUCGCUCGUUUUACAUUGAUAGGAGAUGAUCUCUACCGACGUGGAUACACUACUCCUCUAUUGAAGUGUUUGUCUGGCGAAGAAGCCAAGUACGUUAUGCAAGAACUACAUCAUGGCAUUUGUGGCUCUCACUCAGGUAAAAGAACGCUUAGAGCCAAAAUAUUACGAGCGGGUUUUUACUGGCCCACAAUUGAACAAGAUUGCAAAUAGUUCGUUCAAAAGUGCAUCUCCUGCUAGUCCCAUGGACAUGACACUUGGAUUCCUCCGGCCGAACUGAUGGGCAUCAUAUCUCCAUGGCCCUUUGCUCAAUGGGGAAUGGAUAUUGUCGGACCCCUACCGCUCGCAAAAGGACAGUGCAAAUAUCUCCUUGUGGCAAUCGACUACUUUACCAAGUGGAUCGAAGCAAAAGCCCUUGCAACAAUCAGCGCCCGAAAAGUACAAAGCUUCAUAUGGCACUUGAUAUGCCGAUUCGGUAUACCACAGAGAAUCAUUACUGAUAACGGUCAGCAAUUUAUCGACCGUACGCUGGAAGACUUUCUCAAGGGACUUGGAAUCAAACAUGUUACAAGUUCAGUAGAACACCCCCAAACGAACGGACAGGCCGAAGCUGCGAACAAAGCCAUAAUCUCCAAGUUGAAAAAGCGCCUAGGGCAAGCCAAAAGCUUGUGGGUCGAAGAAUUGCCUAAAGUACUUUGGGCUUACAGAUGCACACCGCACAGAUCUACAGGUGAGACCCCCUUCAAUCUCACAUAUGGCACUGAUGUUAUGUUACCGGUCGAGGUGGGGGAACCAUCCCUUCGCCAGUAUAUACAAGAUAUGACUCUCAAUGAUGAACAACUGAGGUUGAACCUCGACACCCUACCCGAAAGGCGCGAGAUUGCCCUGAUCAAGAAUGAAGCUCAGAAACGACUGAUUAUCAGGCGUUAUAAUACCAAAGUGAAACACCGCAAUUUCACCGAAGGCGAUCUUAAGCGGGGUGAUGCACGGAAAAAUAAGGCACAUGGAAAGUUGGCUGACAACUGGGAAGGACCUUUCCGAAUCAGCGAAGAUUUGAAGAACGGAGCAUAUCGACUGGAAUACCUGGACAGAAAAGUUGUUCCUAACACUUGAAACGUCACCCAUCUCAAAUUUUACUAUAGUUAAAGUUUUGUUAUAUUUCCAUUCAUUGUCCUUCCAGGAACAAUUUUCUCUUUCAGAAUUAUUUCAAUGAAGUAUUCCAGCUCCAUAUCUUGUGUACUAUUUGUCAAACACGCACAACACUAGACCGACCGCGUCUAGCUACCUCAAGAUCGACCGCGUCUUGACACCUCAUGGACCAUAACGUCCAUCAACACACUAGACCAACCGUGUCUAGUUACCUCAAGACCGACCACGUCUUGACACCUNNNNNNNNNNNNNNNNNNNNNNNNNNNNNNNNNNNNNNNNNNNNNNNNNNNNNNNNNNNNNNNNNNNNNNNNNNNNNNNNNNNNNNNNNNNNNNNNNNNNNNNNNNNNNNNNNNNNNNNNNNNNNNNNNNNNNNNNNNNNNNNNNNNNNNNNNNNNNNNNNNNNNNNNNNNNNNNNNNNNNNNNNNNNNNNNNNNNNNNNNNNNNNNNNNNNNNNNNNNNNNNNNNNNNNNNNNNNNNNNNNNNNNNNNNNNNNNNNNNNNNNNNNNNNNNNNNNNNNNNNNNNNNNNNNNNNNNNNNNNNNNNNNNNNNNNNNNNNNNNNNNNNNNNNNNNNNNNNNNNNNNNNNNNNNNNNNNNNNNNNNNNNNNNNNNNNNNNNNNNNNNNNNNNNNNNNNNNNNNNNNNNNNNNNNNNNNNNNNNNNNNNNNNNNNNNNNNNNNNNNNNNNNNNNNNNNNNNNNNNNNNNNNNNNNNNNNNNNNNNNNNNNNNNNNNNNNNNNNNNNNNNNNNNNNNNNNNNNNNNNNNNNNNNNNNNNNNNNNNNNNNNNNNNNNNNNNNNNNNNNNNNNNNNNNNNNNNNNNNNNNNNNNNNNNACCGCGUCUUGACACCUCAUGGACCAUAACGUCCAUCAACACACUAGACCGACCGUGUCUAGUUACCUCAAGACCAACCGCGUCUUAACACCUCAUGGACCAUAACAUCCGCCAACACACUAGAUCGACCGUGUCUAGUUACCUCAAGACCGACCGCGUCUUAACACCUCAUGGGUCAUUACGUCCAUCACCACACUAGACCGACCGCGUCUAGUUACCUCAAGACCGAACGCGUCUUGACGACUUAUAGACAAUCACGCCCAUCUAUACAAAACGCUAGAUCGACCGUGUCUAGACACUUCGCAGCCACAACUGAAUAAGUCUCGACGACUCAAGUAUAAAUCAUCUAAAAGAUUUGACGAACAAGAAGUAUAAGCAUACAAGAAGCAUUCACAACUCUAUCAAACAAAAGGACUAAAGCAUUCGAUGCAACAAUUUGAGCAGAUAAACUUCUACAAAUAUAAAGGGUACAUCGACGAUUAAAUCAUUCAAAGAAAACGUAAUGUUCAACAAACUUUCAAAGUCAUUAUAGAAGUUUAAUAAAGUUCUAGAAAUGCCAACAUAAAGUUGCUAAGAUAUCAGGCUCCCACAUCGGCCUCCUUUCCCUUCUCGGUUUCUUCCAUCGUAGUUUCUACGGCCGGAUCACCUUCAGCUGUAUAAGCGUCUUCGGAAAUAUCAUCAAUUGACAUCAGACACCCUUCAUAUAUGUCUUGGCCAAUAUCAAAGCCUAGGCCUUCAGGUGAAACUUUGGCUAAAUGACUCAUUUGUCUUAACGCCUUUUUGAAGCCCUUCGUGUGCUCCUGGCCAAUAGCCUCCAGCAUCUCCGCCUCAGUAUUUUUCCAUUCUACCCUCUCCUGUUUGAGUUCGGUAUUUUCCUUCAGUAACUCAUCCCUUUCCUUCUGAAUAUUGCUCAAAUUGGCAAUAGUCUUCUUGGCACCUUCCAUGUCCUUCAACAACUCAUCUCAUUCGGCCUACAGCUCCAUGCUCAGUCUACGCAACCUCUCAGCAUGAGUUUUCCCUUCCUCAAUGAAUUUGGCAGCUUCCUUGGCCUUCUAGGCACACCCAGCAUGAGCGGUCUGAACGUCCUCCAGCUCUUUUCUCAAGCGAGCUAUCUCAUUCUGGACAUCCCCCCUAUUGGAAGCAUAAACCAUUUUGAAGGCUGCUCCCCCCGCCCGUAGUAUCGAAUCAAGUAGAAAUUCCGACAUCUGCUGUUCAGACAUAGCCGCCAUCACCUUUUCCUCAACGACGCCAAAAUGGAACUCGACCUUAUGUCUCAGAUCGAAGCCCGGGUCCCAUAUCCCUAACGGUAGCGACCAUUCUUCAACCGACUCCCCAGUCUCCUUCACGGUCUUCUCUUUUCUGACCGCGCUGGUCGCCCCUUCCACCCAGGCGACCUUUCUCUUGCGCGCAAAACCUUGUUCGGGGGAGGGAGGGGUAUCCUCCAAAUGCACGACCGUCGCAGGGUUCGACGACGUUCCAGUAGACCGACCAGUAGCAGCCCCAGCCUCUUUUCUAGCAACCUGAGAUUGCUUAAAUCAAUUCUUCUUGGGAGCCAUGACCUCUGCAAAAUUUCACAAAUAUUCAUCAAUCAUAUUCAAAUAAACAAGAAAUGAUAUUCAGCAAUGAAACCUACCGCAAACCCUCGACUUAAGGUCGUUGAACUUCAUACAAUUGAUCAUCUUCCUCGAGGAAAAUGGACGAGGUAACUUGAUCAAAACAUCCAAGUUCCUCUUCUCAACGUCAGUCAUGUCCUCUUGGGGCCAAGAGGUUAAUGUUCAAGGGGUCUUGGUCCAAUACAAUGGGAAUUUGGGACUACCAUCAUCGUUCAGAAAAAACGGCCUACCCCCCUUUAUAAUCGACACUUUGAAAAACUGGUUUUUAAAGUCUUUAUACGACUCGGCGAAUAAAUGGAAAAUGGCGUCCUUUGCCAUUGAACUAAGGGAAACCCAACCUUUUUUGGCGUUCGGGCGGAUUUUGAAGAAAAACAAGAAGAUUUUAGCCGUUGGUUCAAUGUCCAAAGCCUGACAUAAAACACCGAACGCUUGGAUGUAUCCCCAGCUGUUCGGGUGUAAUUGGGAAGGAGCUACGUUUAAAUAUUGCAGAACUUCCAUUUGGAAUCUGGUGAAUGGAAGCCUAAUAUACAUAUCAUAAAGCAUACAUAAAUAAAAAUAAAAACAGUUCUCUCCGACAACGUCCUCUUCGUGGAAGACUCGCUCCUCUUUCCUACAAGCAACCAACUUUAGGGCUGCGUUAUACCCUAGGGUUCAAAGAACGCAGUUGUCCUCUACCCAUCCUAACAGUAUAUCUUUAUUUACAAAAAUGAUGUAUUGAUCACCAACCUCACGGGAUGCCCAUGAGUAGUCAGCCAGAGAAGAUGAACAUUCUUGCCCCGAAUUUUCAACCUCGACUCCACCACUAACAAAAACCCUAUCUUCGCUUAACAAAGACUCAACAGAACCUACGACUCCUGGUCGAACCCUAGGUGAGUCACUACUAUCAGGUAAAGAAUGAACGGAGGAAGAAGAAGCCAUUGUUACCUGGGAAUGCGAAGACUGACACAGUUGGGGAAGAAGACACUUGGGGCAGCGCAAGAACUUCUCAAGAACGAUGACGAUGAUGCAGAAAUGAAAUGUGACGGUUCAUUUCAAAAUCACUAACUUAUUAAAGGCGUGGAGGUUACGAAACCGCCACACUGUCCACACCGUUGGAUGUACAGGAUCUAACGGCUCUUAUUUGGCGACUCUGCCACUACCAUAACGCGGGAAAAACUACUCACGUUUUCAAGGAUGAAACAACGACACAAUCGUGUCGUUUCUAAGUCAUUCACAGAACCAAACAGGUCUGUCUGACUACCUAACACGCACGCACUCAACACGAACGACACAUACACUCAUAACAAUCCUUCGGUCUCCCAAGGUCCGGCACCUCGGACUUGGGGGGGAUGACGUACGGUAGUAUAUCUCUGACGUUCGGUCUGCUAAACCGAGCGGCCAAGCUUGCUAAUCAAAUGGGCCGAAUCAUCAGAAUGGUCCAGCUCUAUUGGGCCCGAAGCCCAUCAUCUCGCAAAUACAAAUAAAUGAACAAUAUCAUAUAUCACGUAUCAAAUAAUAUCUCAGUAGAGAUAUAUCAAGUAAGUUUGUUUAUAUUUUAUUCUAUUUAUAUUUUAUUUUGUUCUUAACAUCAUAUCAAUCCAAAGCCUAUAAAUAAAGAACAAAAGGCUCCAAACAAGGUACGCUCAUAUUCUCUCACACUCAUACUUUCACUCCUAACUGAGUAUCAACCCUCUCCCCAUUCUAAGCAUCAACUUGCUGAGGAUCGAGGAUCUUCCUACACUGAUAUCUAACUUGAUCGUCGGAGUGCCUUUACAAGUACCCCCUCUCGGGUGAAGGUUGGAACUUUACGGAUGGUCUGAAGAACGGACGACGAAGGUAUUUGAAGAUCUUGCAUCAGAAAGAAGCAGAAUCGCGUCAUCGAAGUUAGUACUUUCAGUCCCAGAAAUUUUUACCGAAACAUAUAAUAUUUUCCAAAAUGAGUUUUCGGAACAUUUCUAAAUGAAAUGUAUUCAAAAAUAAUUUUUUAAGAAUACUUAAAAUAUGUUUUGGAUAAAAUUUUCGAAACAAGUUUUUCUUUUUAUUUCUUUCCAUCGUCUCCUCCUCUUCUUUUUUCUUUAUAACGGCGGUGAGGGUGGAAGCCGUGGUGAGAUUUUCAAUGAUAACAAUUGUGCGGUUUAAUAAUAGAAGGUGUUUGAAUUAUUUCUUACUAUUGUAACGGUGCGGUUAGUAAUUAUGAGGGUGCAGAAAGCAAUAACCAUCAGUUCGGCUGGCAACUGUAUCCUUUUAAGGCCAUAUUUGUUAAUCCGGAGUUCUUGUCCAAUUUCAAUAUUUAUUGAUGAUUAUAUAACAAAAUGAAAUUAUUUUAUAAUGGGAAUUCAUUACUAUAUAAUUCAUUCUUAAAAGACACAAAAGACGUGACAAUUAAAAUAAAUAUUUUGUUAUAAUUAUUCUAAACGUUAUAAAAAGAAAGAGAUCAAGAUUGACAUUGAAUAACAAUUAAAGAGAGCAAUAAAUCAUACAACCAUAUUAGGGAGGGACGCUUAAUAUUAAUAAUACUUAUAAUCAUUCUUAUUUGUAUAACCCAAUAUUAAAUGCUAACGGUAAAGUGACGUAGCGAAAUGUAACGUAAAUAACAUAAAUACAUGAUAUCACACAUAUGUGUUUGUGAGUUUCAAUGGAAAAUAAUGUCAUUUUAGUAAUUAAAUUGGAAAGUUUUUUAAAAGCAAAUAUUUCAUAGCAAACAAAACAAGUGUUCAUGUCCCCAUCAUAUAUACUAAUUUAAAAUAUGGUAACGUUAUUGUACAAACAAUAAUGUUCUUCAAAUACGGCAAAUUUCUAGUCUUCACCAAUAAAUUACAAGUACAAAAUUAGAUGGGAGUAAUUGCUUUCUCGUGGUCAACAAAAUUUAAUAAUUAUGAUGUGUUUGCCUUUAAUAAAAAAAUUUAAUUUUUAAUAUUGUAAAAGUGAGUAUAUGGAGGUGUUUUAAAAGUUGAAAUGGGUGAAAAAUAUCGUGAAUUAAACUUUUCGACUUAUAUUUAAAAAAUAUAAAAUUAAUUUGAAGGAUUAGAAAAAAAAAAGUAAGAGAAGUUGUUUUUAAAUUUUGUCACAAAAAUAAAACUAAUAAAUAAAUAAAAGUAAAAAUAUGAUAAAGUUAUAUUAAUAAAAAAGGUUAAAUAUUUUACAACUGUUAAUAAAGAAAAACUUAAAAUCAACUGAUGAAAAAUUAAUAAAAGCAAAACAUGUACUGAAGUGGAUGUGAUUAACUCCUAACUGGUAGUCCAUUUCACCUACCAAACAGUCUAUCAAAAAGCAAAAGAAGCAUACAUUUUGACUAAGAAAAACAAACUGGCUUUAUUUCUUAAACUGGUAGAUGACUAAUUUUGCCUUUAAUAUUAAAUAAUAAAAAUCAAUCUUAAAAUAAUAUUUUAUGAAUCAAAACAAUAACGUAUGAGACGCGGUAAAUUUAAUUCUUGAAAAAGAUAGAAACCUUUAUUUAGUUUUCAAAUUGAUCUGAAAAAAGUAUAGUUUUAUGAUAAAAUAAUAUUUAUCUAAUUUAAUGUCAAUUUGGUCUUUUUAGAACACUUAAUAAUAAGAUAUAUUUACAGGAUUCUGGAUAAUUUCAGAAAUUAAAAUAAUAUUUUAUAUCUUUUUCUUGAAUCAAUCAUACAACAAAUUAUAGUAUAGUGAUUGAGACCCAAGGCAUGAAUGUAGAUUGACGAUCCAACCCCUCUUCCCAUUAUUGGUGUUCAAUAUUUUAAUUUCUCUCAGAGCAGACACAAUAUUACUGUUUAAAAAAUCCAAGAAUUUCAAAUUAACGUUAAUCUCUGUUUCUGUGCCUCUGUUUUGAUGGUGCAGAUCAUCUGGAAUAAUCUAACCAUGUUUUAUGGAAUAGCAUAAUUAUUAUUGGGUUUGAGAUGAGAAUCAGAAUACAAUACCAAAUGGAUAACCUAUGGCAGAAGCUAAACAAUAGAGUCUCGUGAUCCUUCUUACAAAACAACCAUUUUCUUUCGUUUUCUUUCCUUGUUAGUGUUAUUAUUGCUUUUUUUAAUGUGUACCAAGCACAGCAUCGGUGAGGUUGCAAAUUCUAAAAUAAAAUCUCACUCUGAAUCAUGAUAAAUGACACUGCUGCCUACUGUGGCACGUAGCUAGAUACUAGAUACAUGUCCCAUCAUUUUAUAUAUAUUAUAUGACCUUAUAUUAAAGAAAAUUUCUCAAACUUCAACUUCUCUAACCCUGUCAUUUGGCCACAUGUAACUCUUGACACGUAAAGCAGCCUGCGCGUUUAACACGCUUUAUUGGUCCUACGGUACAAGCACCACAACGGUAACCAAGGAGGAAACUUUUUCUUUAUAUCAAUCCCUUCUCGUCACUUCUUUCUGUAACUCUUUUGCUUCUUUAUUUUUCUGAGAGUAUUGCAUCUCUCUCUCUCUCUCUCUCUCUCUCUCCUCGGUCUCUGCAACAUGGAGGUUCAGAUACGUGUUUUUUGUCUCUUGUUGUUUCUCUUGAGUCUGCUCUCGGGGUCUCAGGCCUACACCUUCUACGUUGGUGCGAAAGAUGGGUGGGUUUUGUACCCUUCUGAGAAUUACAAUCACUGGGCUGAAAGGAUGAGGUUCCAAGUCAGUGACACUCUUGGUCAGUUGAUUUUCGUUCUAAAGCUUUUCAACUUUUCUGCUACCUUUCUGCAUGCUUUUAUUAACUUGUGUGGUUUUUCGUGUUCAUAGUUUUUAAGUACAAGAAGGGAUCGGACUCGGUUUUGGUGGUGAACAAGGAGGAUUAUGAGAAAUGUAACAAGAAGAAGCCGAUCAAGAAGUUUGAGGAUGGUGACUCCGAGUUUCAGUUUGAUCGGUCGGGUCCCUUUUAUUUCAUCAGUGGAAAAGAUGAUUACUGUGAGAAGGGUCAGAAACUUAUCAUUGUGGUGUUGGCUGUGAGGGAGCCUCCUCCAUAUUCUCCAUCGCCACCAAAUCUUCCACCUCCUCCAAAAACUCCUUAUCCACCCCAUCUUCCCCCAAAAGCACCUUCACCUUCAUAUCAUCCACCCCAUCUUCCCCCAAAAGCACCUUCACCCUCAUAUCAUCCACCCCAUCUUCCAUCACCUCCACUUCCUCCAACCACUCCCUCUCCUAUUCCUUCCCCUACCCAUCAACCUCCCUUUGUUCCAAUAACACCAUCGCCAUUUUCUCAAACACCUUAUGUGCCACCACCACCCAAAACUCCAUCUCCUACUUCUCAACCACCGUCCAACACUCCUUCCCCCACCUCACAACCACCUUACAUUUCCACACCACCAUCCACCGCCCCUUCUCCCAUUUCCCAACCUCCCUACAUUCCAAAACCUCCAAACGCUCCUUCUCCAACAUCUCAACCACCCUACCCUAAUGCCCCAACUCCAUAUCCCAAUUCCCCUAUCAUUCAACCCCCAUCAUCAGCAUCAUCUCCAACUUCCUCAUCACCCUAUCCAUCCACCAUCCCUCCAUCAUACCCACCUUCCCCCUUCGCUCCGGCUACUACACCCUCCACUGCUUCACCACCAAUACCGUCUCCGGCAACCGCCACUUCUCCUCCGGCACCACUACCGGCAGCAACAAGCCCAUCGCCGUCGUCUUCGUCGGGAUCGUCCUCGAACGAAACGACGCCGUCCCGGCCAAACGGCGCGUCGUCUAUAUCUGAAUCGCGUUUUGGAGUGUACUCACUAACCAUUCUGGUCGGUGCUGCUCUCAGUACCAUUCUUGGUUAGAAAACCAGACUUGUUUGUUUUUGGAACUUGAAUUUUUAUUUUAUUAUUAUUUUUAUUUGAACAUAUGAGAUAUAUCCAUAUUAAUUUUAUAUUGUAUAAUGAUAAUAAUAUGAAUUCUGUGUAUCUAUGGUUACCAAUGUAGUCAGUUAUGUGAGUGGAAAUACUCUGUUUGAACAUUUUAAUAUAUUAUUGCUUAAUCAAUUUUCGGAAUAAGUUUGAUUCUCCUAAUGAUUUAUAUAAAGUACAAGAUUCGUUUAUUC
rnacentral:lncRNA from 1 species